rnacentral:lncRNA from 1 species
UUUUUUUUUUGUAUGGUAUUUCUCCCUAGUUGUAAUGACCCAACCGGUCAUUUUGAGAUCUAGCUCAUCGUUCAAUAGUCUAAGGCCAUGAGCAGCUUAAUUUCAGGUAUUAUGACUUGUACGUGUUGUCGGAAUUGAAUUUCGCGAAGUUCAAAGUUGAUUCGGAGAGAGAAUUCUCAUUUCGGAAGCCUUGAGUUGAAAGAAUUCACCAAGAUUGGAUUUUUAAGUAAACGACCUCGGAAUCGGGAUCUGAAGGUUCCAGUAGGAUCGUAUGAUGAUUUCGGACUUGGGCGUAUGCACGGAUCGGGUUUUGGAUGACCCGGGAGUGUUUGGGCGCCUGUUAUAGAAGCUAGCACUUUGGAAUAAAUUUCAUAAGUUUGGGUUGAAGUGCAUUUUAGUCUUAUCGAUGUCCGUUUGGGAUUCCGAGUUUGGGAAUAGCUCCGUAUGGUGAUUCUGGAGUUGGGAGCGUGAUCGGACGUGAAUUCGGAGGUCUGCAGGUCAUUGUGAAGUCAUUUGGCUAAAGAUAGAAUUUGAAGGUUUUUGAGAAGUUUGAUCGGAAGUGGACUUUUUGAUAUCGGGGUUGGAAUCCGAUUUCGAAAGUUGGAGUAGGUCCGUAACAUCAAAUAUGACUUGUGUGCAAAAUUUUAAGUCAAUCGGACGUGAUUUGCUAGGUUUAAACAUCGAAAGUAAAAUUUGGAAGUUCUAAAGUUCAUAAAGCUUGGAUUGGAGGUCGAUUCGAGAUUUUAGCAUUGUUUGAUAUGAUUUGAGGCCUCGAGCAAGUCCGUAAGGUGUUUUGGGACUGGUUGGUAUGAUUGGUUGGGCUCCCGAGGGCCUCGAAUGGAUUUCGGGUGGUUAACGGAUCGAAAAUGGGAUUUUGAGAAGGAAUGAAGGUUGCUGCUUCUUUCAUAACCGCACAUGGACCGUAGGUGCGAGACUGCAGAAGCAGUCCUUGCAUCGCAGAAGCGGCCCAAGCAAGCCAGGCCAGGAACCGCAGAAGCGUAUCCCAAGCCGCAGAUGCGCUCCGCAAAUGUGGCCCCCAGACCGUAGAAGCAGUCCCAGCCUUCUCUCCCCAUUUCGGAGAUGUAGUCAUCUUCUCGCAAAUACGGUCCCCUGACCGCAGAUGCGGAAGUGCCGGAGGCUGUGAGUUCUUUUAAAAAUCGGGAGAUGGUCAUUUUUCUCCCAUUUUUCAUUUGGUAUGGACGAUUUUGGAGAGCUUCAAGAGGGGAUUUUCAUCAUCAACGAUAAGGUAAGCUAACCCCACCUAUAUUGAGUUAAAUAUAUUGAUUUUUUAUGGAUUUUAGCAUGCAAAAGGGUAGAAAUUUGGGGGGUUUGAGGAAGACCUAGAAAAUUAUAUUCUUGGAAUUUGACCACGAUUUUUGGUAUUAAGAGAAAAUCAUAUAUUUGAGUUCGUGAGUUAUUGGGUAAAGUUUAUCUUCGAUAUCCGGGCACGUGGGCCCGAAGGCAAUUUUGUCAACUUUUCGAUUGGGUUAGGAAUUGCUAUAAAUUGGAUUGUGAGUACUUGAACAUAUAUUAAUGGAUUUUUCAUAAUUAUUGGCUAGGUUUGGGGCGUUGUGCAUCAAUUUAAGUCUUUGGAAGGGCGUGAAAUGCCGGUUAUGGAUCUUCGGAACGGUGAGUCUCCUUUCUAACCUUGUAAGAGGUAAUUGUCCCAGUAGGUGAGUUAAUUUGUUAUGUGCUUCUAUUUGUGGGGGCUACGUACGCACAAGGUGACGAUAGUCCGUGCGUAGCUACUAUUAUGCUAUUGUCCGGGUAGUCUAGGACCCAAAAGCAUGUUGUACUUGGAUUAUUUGUAAACUUAUUGAUAGAUUGAAUUGCUUAAAUCUCAUUGAAUUGGUAAAUGAAUUUCUAAAAGUAUUAAACUUAAUUUUCUUAAAUCAUUAAAAGAGAAUUGGCUUUUAUUGAAAUAAACUCUUAAUUGGCUAUUUGACUGUGUGUAUCUAUGUGUGCCUGCGUCGCAUGUAUGAUUCGCGAGCGGGGUAUUUGUUUAUUUAUGUUGACCGCGUCGCAUGUAUGAUACGCGAGCGAGGUAAUAGAUGCAUCUAUAGUUCGUGAUGUUUGACCCUCGGUAGUGCACAUUUUACAUUUCUCUUGGAUCGGAUUGUACGACCUCGGCAUGAUAUGCGCAUGCUUGUAUUGCUUGCCUGAGAAUGUUAUGCGAUAAUAUUUGCCUUCCCUGGCCAGAUAUAGUUGAUAAGCAUAAUGAAAAGUAAACUUUGGAAAUUUGUACUUAUUUGAGAUGUUGUUUACCUGCUAUCUGGUUUUAUGAGUUUAUAAUUAUUUUAAAAAAAUCCAUGAUUUCCUUACAUUGUCACUAUAUUGUUAUUGGAGCACUAGUAAGUGUCAAAGUCGACCUCUCGUCUCUACUUCUUUGAGAUUAGACGGGAUACUAAUUGAGUACACGUUGUUUUCGUACUCAUACUACACCUCUUUGCAUUUUUGUUGCACAUGCAUAUAUAUCUCUAGUGGCCUACUGGGCAUAGAAGCAUGGUUGAUACGGAGACUUAGGUGAGUUGCACUUCUCGAGGUGACCCGCAGCCAGCAGAGUCUCUUUCAGUUAUCUGUUUUUAUUUUCUGUCCAAUAUUGCAUUCCGGACGGUUGUUGCAUUUUAUUUCCUUCUUAGUAGAUGCUCAUGCACUUGUGACACCGGGUUCUGGGAUGAUUAUUGGAUAUCUUGUAUUUACUUCCAAACAUUCUUUUAUUUACAUUGUAAAGAUUGUCUUUUACUAGUAAAAUUGAAGAAAAACCUUAGUUUUCAAAAUUGUUUAAAUGAGAACUUAAUCAAGUAAUUUGGUUGGCUUGCCUGACAGAAGUGUCCGGCGCCAUCAUGACCCUUAGUGUAUUUUGGGUCGUGACAACAUGGUAUCGGAGAAAUAGGUUCCCUUAGGUCUCACGAGUCAUGAGCAAGUAUAGUAGAGUCUCGCGGAUCAUUAUGAAGACUUCUGUACUUAUCUUUGGGAGGCUACAGGGCUAUUAGGAGUACUUCCCUUCUUGAUUCCUCACGUGCGAUUUGAUUCUUUGAGGCUUAUGCUCUUGUUUCCUUCCUACUUAAUCUUACGUGACGCAAACUACUGGUCAAAUCAAGAAUUUAAGGAUAGUAAUAGUGCUACGAAUGUGGUGCGAGGUGUUUAUCACUACAGGAUUGUUUGAGCUAAUAUUGUCGUCUUAUGGAAGGAUAUUCUACUAUUUCAGUCAAGUAGCGAUGCUUCUGAGAGCUUUGAGGCUAGGCACAAGUUGCCAUGAUGCUUAUGAACAAUUGUUCCGCAGUAUUGACAUAAUGGUAGAAUGUUUGUCUAUUUGUCAGGGUAGUGAAUGACUUGAAGGGAGGUUUACUCAGUGCAUGAUGUAGAGGUUCGGUAUUUUAUUCCCAGUAUGGGAAAUACAAUUGGCCUAUGAAUGUCCAUAUUUGGAGUAGUGGAGUAACGAGACUUGAUAUUUUCGAGCGUGGUGGAAUUUUCAUCUGUGAUGUAGUGUCGUCAUCCUCGAUUGUAUGAGUUAAGUUCGUCGGUGUUAUGGUCUUCUGUGAUUCGCCUUUGGGGUAAGAUAUUAUGAAAUGAUAUGGGGGAAAUGACUGUUAGAUAUCGUGGGAUACGGUGGUUCAGAUCGAACCGGUGUUUCUAAUGUUGACGGCUCAAGAAAUAUGAUUUUCAGAAAGGUUUAAAGUUGGUAGCAAUUGUGGGUUCAAGUGCUAUGAAGAUAGAUUUUAUUUAAGGCAACAACGGAGCAGCAAAGGAUGAGGAAAGAUAUGUGGGAAGUGUCAGGCAGUGGCGAAGACUUCUAGAAGGCUAAGUAUAAGAAGCAAAGGUCGAGUAGUUGAUUAAUGGGAUGAGUUCCGCCAAAGUGGGAGAGUGGCGGAGGUGCAUAUGGGAAUUGUGGAAGGAUGACUACGAACCUUAAGAAGAGUUUGGAAUGACUUGGGAACUUUAGAGAUUAGUGACUGGGGCCUACGGAUUUAAUUUUAAGCAUGGGCCAUUAUGCGGCGAAAGAUUUGAUAUAACGGGAAGGAGCUGCUUGAAAUGAAGAAGGAUACAACAUAACUUUGAAUUGGAAGGAUGUUGCCGCACAUUUAAUUGAUGUCCAAGAGAGAUGAAUGGACUUGUGCAGCCAAAGGGUGAGCUCGGACUCAAGAUGGGUUAUUGAUGUCGUAGUGAUUGUACCCCGUGCAGCAGCGUUGGAAGAUAUUGGGAAGUGAUUUGCAUAGGUGGGUUAUUCCCUGUGAGUAGGUUAGCAGUCGUGUGGUUGGCGAGGCUUCUGCGAAGAAUUCUAUUGGUUGUUCAGCGAAGAGAACGGUCGUGCGAAUGUGGUUGAUGAUUCAGAGUAUAAAAAGGGAUUUUAUAGAAAGAUUCUGAGAAUUUUGGCGGUUGAUUGCGCAAGGUUAUGUCAAUAAGAGUUUAAGAAACCUGGUGAAUUCCUGAGUUGUGUAAUUGUGGCUUCGAACAAAGUGGGAGAGUCCCACCGCCUAUGAUUGGGUUACAUGGUUAACUACUUGCGAGGUUCCCGAUUAUUAGCAUGUUGAUAGGUUAUUACAUCUACGGGAAAAGACCAUAAGUGGUAAUUUGAGCAGGAAAUUGUUAAAGGUGUGCUAUGGUUGGCCUUGUUGGCUCAUGUUCAAACUUGGGGGAAGGAUUCAGGAUUUGUGCUUUGUAUAGAUGCGGGUUCCAAGGGAAGUGAUUCUGCUAGGUGUUUUGUCGAGAGGGUGUUCAUGUGCUAGAAGAUUCAUGUAGUUGAUUAUAUUUAGGGCCAAGUUAGAGCGGGUGGCUCUCAGCAAUGGUCCUAGUAGAUUCAAAGGGGUAAAGUGUGGAGCCUAAUGAUUUCGAGCCUAUAGGUACGGUUAAGAUUCAAGCUUUGUAGCAGCUUUUGAUAAGAGGCCCAGAAUGUUCUAUGAUGUUUUGACUUGUAGUGCAGCAUUUGGGAGGAAAAUGAGAAAAGACUUCAUAUUCAUAGUGAGAUUAUCAGAAUGGGCAUACCAGUUGAGGAUGCGAAUUUGCAGCUGUUGGGAAAUAUGAAACAGUUCGUGGGAUUUGAGACAUCAUUGUCUCGUGAUUCAAGGUCACUCGGGAUGAGUACGUAUGGAGUGUACUAUGUGCUGAAUGGUGCUAUUAUUAUUUCUAAGGCAAACAAGGAUAAAUUAGAAAAAGAUAAAUCGGUUAGCCAUAGUUAGGUUGGCAUAUUAGUAGUAGUGAUCAGUUCUUUCGACGUGGUCAAGAUAUGCAAGUGAUUUGUGGCGGUAUGUAUGAGGCUUGUCGGCCACCAUAAUUGAUGCGAUUCAGAAGUAUUCUACUGUUACGGUCUGUUAUGUGGAGGCGGAUCCCAGAAGGGCUAUGGUGGCUUAGACCUCUACUUAGAGAUUUGCAUAUCCUACGAUUAUGAGAACUCACCUGUAUUUCUAGGGUCCUCCUGAAGUGAGUUAAGUGAAAAAAAUUAUAUGAUGAAGUGUUAAUCAAAUAGUGGUUCCGAAGCUAUGAUGAAAAGCGUGUACUAUCGUAUACUGGCAUGUUGGGUGCAGUGAGUGGUAUGGAAUUUGAAGUGAAGAUCAAGGUUGCAGUUCGGUGUUGUCAAGGAUGUCACGAGCUCGUAUGAGUAGGGAAGGAGUUUCGAUGUUUAAAGUAAGUUGGUAUUGUCAUCAGCGUCACCAGAGAUCGGGUUUUGUGAAAAAGGCCUUGCGUCCUAGUUAAGGAUGCUAGAUAGCUUUCAGCAGUAGUUCAGCCGGUGCUCUGGAUGCACGGACCUGUUAUUGUUACAAAGGGUUGUGGGAGUGUGCCCCACGGGAAGGUUGUAGAAGUGUGGCAUGUAGUCACUUGAUUUAUUGAAGAAAUUAAACCGAGUAUGAAGAUUGUAGUAAUGUUAUUAAAUUGAGAAUUUGAUGCUUGAAGGGCACUCAGUUUAUUGUGUUGUGGAUUGUGGGGGAUCACUCCGGUUGUGAUGGUUGUUCUUGUGUGUUAUGAAAAAGGGAAGUUAGUAUGGACUUCUGAAAGGUUAUUAGCCUAGUUCGGCACGAUCAGAAUUGGCUUGAGGUCGGUGAAUGGAUUUAAGCAUGAAUAUAGGCCUUAUAUCAGGCCGGAUGAGUUCAUUUCAGUAUAGUGCUACGUAUGGAGGAGUAUUCAGAUGUGGAUAUUGUUUCAUCAUCGGCUAUUUCGUGUAAUGCUAUAUUGUGCCAUGUGAGUUGUGAACAACUAGAUGAUUUUCUUAUGUGUUGAGGUUCCGCGUAGAGAUGAUGUUAUAUGAGCAGGAUGACCCUCAAGAUUCAGAUCGUAUAUCACACAUCAGUUGUGCAUGAGUUUUGUAGCCUAUGGCACUAUAUGUUCCCCCAGAGAUGGUAUUAUGCACUUUGCGUGCUUGUGACUGAUAUUCGGUAUAUUAUUGUAAUGAGAAAUUUAGCUCGAUGCAUAUCUCCUUAUGUGAAUUCUAUAUGUGGAUCGGAUGGCACGCCACCAUGAGUAUGUUAUUUGGAUCGGGUUGCACGCCGCACCAGUGUGAUGUAGAGUAUAGUUUUCUAUAUGCUAUUUUUGUAUAUGCCUUGCUUCUUAUUUUCUGAGGAAAGUCCGAAUUAGUGCAUGAGUUAGGUGGUACCUUCUAGAGUUCGUUUUCCUUUAUAUCACGUUCGAAUUAGUAGCCUAUCGGCAUCUUGCGACAUCAUUUGAGGGUUUUGAUCAUGUCUGGGGUAGCUUAUUGCCUGAGCAGUUCAUACUGGGUGAGACGAGAUCAUUGGAUUUAGGAUCAGUACAAUCUGACUAUAUGAAGCAUAUUAAGGAGCUAAGACCAUUAUUUGGUGCAGAAUGAGGUGAUGGUUCUUGUUAGGAGUAUAGACCUAAUGAUUUAUUGAUUUAGCAGUUGGUUAUGAAUCUCUGCACAUCUCUUUCAUCGUGGCAGUAUUGUGAGAGUUAGAGCAAGACCUAUGUAUGUCAUGAGGUGCAAUGGGAGCAUCAGAGUCAUGGAAUUUCGACUAAAUUGAUCAGAGAAUGUUAUUAUGGCCCUGUGGGUAAAGUGGUGCAAGUGUGAAUUCAACUAAGGUAUGCAGUCAUGUUCUGGUGCAUCGUGUGGUAAUUGAUACGGUGUUCGUGUGUUGGAAACCGGCCUAGCAGAGAAUUUCGGAUGUUAGAAUUGGGCUCUAAGGCUUAUUUACUUAAGUGAAAAAGGAUAUUCACAAGUUGAUCAAUCUAAAAUGCCCAGCUGAGUGGUGAUGGCACGGGUAGGUGCUCGAGGUGUUAAACAGUAAUUUCGGACAACCCCAGUGUAGUUCUUAGCAUGUUCGAGGACGAACGUAUGUUUAAGUGGGAGCUAAUAUAACAACUCGAUAGGACGUUUUAAGCUCUAGCACGUCGUUCAAUAGUCUGAGGCCAUGAGCAGCUUCAUUUCAGGUAUUAUGACUUGUACGCGUGGUCGGAAUUGAAUUUCGGGAAGUUCAAAGUUGAUUUGGAGAGAGAAUUCUCAUUUCGGAAGCCUUGAGUUGAAAGAAUUCUCCAAGAUUGGAUUUUGAGGAAACGACCUCGGAAUCGGGAUCUGAAGGUUCCAGUAGGAUCGUAUGAUGAUUUCGGACUUAGGCGUAUGCCCGGAUCGGGUUUUGGAUGACACGGGAGUGUUUGGGCGCUUGUUGUACAAGCUAGCACUUUGGAAGAAAUUUCAUAAGUUUGGGUUGAAGUGAAUUUCAGUGUUAUCGAUGUUAGUUUGGGAUUCCGAGUCUAGGAAUAGCUCCGUAAGGUGAUUCUGGAGUUGGGAGCGCGAUCGGAAGUGAAAUCGGAGGUCCGUAGGCCAUUGUGAAGUCAUUUGGCUAAAGAUAGAAUUUGAAGGUUUUUGAGAAGUUUGACCGGAAGUGGAAUUUUUGAUAUCGGAGUCCGAAUCUGAUUCCAAAAGUUGGAGUAGGUUCGUAACAUCAAAUAUGACUAGUGUGCAAAAUUUUAAGUCAAUAUGACGUGAUUUUCUAGGUUUAAACAUUGAAAGUAGAAGUUGGAAGUUCUAAAGUUCAUAAAGUUUGGAUUGGAGUUCGAUUCGAGAUUUUAGUGUUGUUUGAUAUGAUUUGCAGCCUCGAGCAAGUCCGUAAUAUGUUUUGGGACUGGUUGGUAUGAUUGGUUGGGGUCCCAAGGGCCUCGGGUGGAUUCCGGGUGGUUAACGGAUCGAAAAUGGGAUUUUGAGAAGGGAUAAAGGUUGCUGCUUCUAUCAUAACAACACCUGGACCGCAGGUGCGACACCGCAGAAGCAGUCCUUGCAUCGCAGAAGCAGCCCAAGCAAGUCAGGCCAAGAACCGCAGAAGCGGCUCCCAAGCUGCAGAUGUGGCUCCGCAAAUGCAGCCCCUAGACCGCAGAAGCGGUCUCAACCUUCUCUCCCCAUUUCGCAGAUGUGGUCAUCUUCUCGCAGAUGCGGCCCCCUGACCACCGAUGGGGAAGCGCUGGAGGCAGUGAGUUCUUUUAAAAAUCGGGAGAUAGUCAUUUUUCUCCCAUUUUUCAUUUGGUAUGGAUGAUUUUGGAGAGCUUUAAGAGGGUAUUUUCAUCAUUAACGAUAAGGUAAGCUACAUACACUCAGGUAAAUCCAAAGAUCAAGGCCCAAAUCAGCUGAUAGUAGUGAGUCUACGUAAUGGCAGAGACCUAGUCUUGGAGCAAUAGAGGGCUCGAGAAACCAGACAGGCUGAGACACUUGUACUAGUGGCCAUUGAGCUAGAUGAUUCAACAAAACUGAUAGAGGUGAUAGUAAAGCCUGCCCAUGAAGAAACUAACACAUAGAUUAAGGCUGAGAAAGAAGCUGAGACAGCCCAGCAACCGGUAGUUGAGGUGGUGUCUGACAAAAAGAAAACCCAAAUCACUGGAAAGAAGAGACCUCUAGCACCAUUCCCACAGAGGUUGUUCACAUCGUAAUAGUCUAAAUUUUAACCAUAGGGCUUAUAGACAUCGGCAUGUCCUCCAUAAUAACCAUGCUGAAUGAAGCCAAAUACCAGAAAGAUGAACUAUACAAGAAAUUCUUGGAGAUGUUGAAACAAAUUCAGGUAAAUAUUCCAUUGAAUGAAGAAGAUGCCUGGUUAUGCAAAAAUGAUGAAGGACUUGAUGUCCAAAAAAUUCGACUUCCAAGACUUGGCCACAGUGACUCUAACUCAGACCUACAUUGUUGUGGUGACUAGACCAGUUGCUGAAAAGUUGUCUGAUCCAGGGAGUUUCACAAUUCCCUGCACUAUUGGUAACUUUGCUUUCGCCAAAGCACUCUGUGAUUUGGGGGCUAGCAUAAAUCUUAUGUCCAUGGUGAUCUAUAAGAGGUUGGGGAUUGGAAGAGCUAGACCCACGUCUAUGUUGUUGCAGUUGGCUGACAGAACUAUGAACAGACCCUAAGGUAUUUUGGAUGACGUGUUGAUACAGGUAGGGAAAAUUAUGUUCCUUGCAGAUUUUGUGAUUCUAGAUUGUAGAGUAGAUGAAGAAAUUUCCAUAAUUUUAGGAAGGUCGUUCUUGGGCAUAGGGCAAGCCCUCAUUGAUUUUGAAACUGGGGAACUCAAGAUGAGGUUGAAAUAUGAGAAGAUAACAUUCAACGUGCAGAAAUCUAUGAGGCGGCCAAGUGAAUUCGCCAAUUGUUCUCUUAUUGAUGCCGUGGAUGUAAUCGUGGAAGAGGAUGACGAGACAUUGACUAUUGAGGAUCCUCUUGCUGCAUGUCUUAUGAAUUUAGAUGAGGUGAAUGGGGAAGAAUUGGCAGAAUGGGUGUUGGCUCUUGAGGGCAAAGGCUUUUGGGAGAGAACACUUGAAUUUGAGACCUUGCACUUAGAUAAAAGAGAAACUCCUCCAGCCAAGCCAUCCAUAGAAGAACUACCAAAGCUGGAGUUGAAGCCCCUUCCCACCAUCUCAGGUAUGCAUUUCUAGGACCUAACUCCAUAUUACCUGUUAUUAUCUCAUCUAGUUUGUUAGAUAUGCAGGCACAACAAGUUUUACAGGUACUCACGGAGUGCAAGACUGUCAUUGGGUGGACCAUGGCAGACAUUAAGGGGAUCAGCCCGCCAUAUUGUAUACAUAAAAUUCUGUUAGAAGAGGGGCACAAACCUUCCAAGGAGCACCAAAGAAGGCUGAACCCCAACAUAAAGGAAGUGGUAAAAAAGGAGAUCAUUAAGUGGUUAGAUGUGGGAAUCAUUUUCCCUAUCUCUUACAGCAACUGGGUUAGCCCAGUGCAAUGUGUUCCUAAGAAGGGUGGCAUGACAGUGGUAAAAAAUGAUAACAAUGAGCUGAUAUCUACAAGAACCGUCACAGGCUGGAGAAUUUGUAUGGACUAUAGGAAAUUGAAUCUGGCCACCCGGAAAGACAACUUCCCACUUCCCUUCAUUGAUCAGAUGCUUGACAGACUAGCAGGGAGGUCCCACUUCUAUUUUCUGGAUGGGUAACAGGGUACAACCAAAUCUCUAUUGCACCAGAGAACAGAGAGAAGACCUUGUUCACAUGUCCAUAUGGGAUUUAUGCAUUCUGGAUGAUGCCUUUUGGCCUAUGCAAUGCACCCGCCACAUACCAAAGGUGCAUGAUGGACAUAUUCACCGACAUGGUUGAAGACAUAAUGGAGGUGUUCAUGGAUGAUUUCUCAGGGUAGGAAACUCAUUCGAUGAGUGCCUUACAAACCUAACCCAAGUGUUGAAAUGGUGUAUCGAGACUAACCUUGUACUUAAUUGGGAAAAGUGUCAUUUCAUGGUACAAGAGGGUAUAGUAUUGGGACACCUGGUAUCAAGCAAGGUAAUCGAGGUGGAUCGUGCUAAAGUUGAUGUGAUAGCAAAGCUGCCACCCCCACAUAAGUCAAGGCAAUCAGGAGCUUUCUCGGGCAUGCCGGUUUCUACCGGAGAUUCAUCAAAAGACUUCUCAAAAAUUGCAAACCCACUGUGUAAGUUGUUAGAUAAAUAUCACCCUUUUGUGUUUUCUGAUGAUUGCAUGGUAGCAUUCGAGGAGUUGAAAAAAAAGGCUAAUCACAGCACCCANNNNNNNNNNNNNNNNNNNNNNNNNNNNNNNNNNNNNNNNNNNNNNNNNNNNNNNNNNNNNNNNNNNNNNNNNNNNNNNNNNNNNNNNNNNNNNNNNNNNNNNNNNNNNNNNNNNNNNNNNNNNNNNNNNNNNNNNNNNNNNNNNNNNNNNNNNNNNNNNNNNNNNNNNNNNNNNNNNNNNNNNNNNNNNNNNNNNNNNNNNNNNNNNNNNNNNNNNNNNNNNNNNNNNNNNNNNNNNNNNNNNNNNNNNNNNNNNNNNNNNNNNNNNNNNNNNNNNNNNNNNNNNNNNNNNNNNNNNNNNNNNNNNNNNNNNNNNNNNNNNNNNNNNNNNNNNNNNNNNNNNNNNNNNNNNNNNNNNNNNNNNNNNNNNNNNNNNNNNNNNNNNNNNNNNNNNNNNNNNNNNNNNNNNNNNNNNNNNNNNNNNNNNNNNNNNNNNNNNNNNNNNNNNNNNNNNNNNNNNNNNNNNNNNNNNNNNNNNNNNNNNNNNNNNNNNNNNNNNNNNNNNNNNNNNNNNNNNNNNNNNNNNNNNNNNNNNNNNNNNNNNNNNNNNNNNNNNNNNNNNNNNNNNNNNNNNNNNNNNNNNNNNNNNNNNNNNNNNNNNNNNNNNNNNNNNNNNNNNNNNNNNNNNNNNNNNNNNNNNNNNNNNNNNNNNNNNNNNNNNNNNNNNNNNNNNNNNNNNNNNNNNNNNNNNNNNNNNNNNNNNNNNNNNNNNNNNNNNNNNNNNNNNNNNNNNNNNNNNNNNNNNNNNNNNNNNNNNNNNNNNNNNNNNNNNNNNNNNNNNNNNNNNNNNNNNNNNNNNNNNNNNNNNNNNNNNNNNNNNNNNNNNNNNNNNNNNNNNNNNNNNNNNNNNNNNNNNNNNNNNNNNNNNNNNNNNNNNNNNNNNNNNNNNNNNNNNNNNNNNNNNNNNNNNNNNNNNNNNNNNNNNNNNNNNNNNNNNNUGCUAGGACAACAGAAAGACAAUAUAAGUGCACCCAAUUUACUAUGACAUUAGAACGUUAAGUGGAGCCUAGCUGAACAACAUUGUGACUGAAAAGGAGAUGCUGACGGUGGUGUUCGCAUUCGACAAGUUCAAAUCAUAACUGAUUGGCUCUAAGGUAAUUGUAUAUACUGAUCACGCUGCUCUCAGGUACUUGAUUGAAAAGAAGCAGUCCAAACCGUGCCUGAUUUGUUGGGUGCUGCUACUGCAAAAGUUCGACCUGGAGAUUCGUGACCGUAAGAGUACAGAAAACUAGGUCGUUGAUCAUCUAUCGGGGCUUGAAGGAGUUGAAAACUUAGUUGAGGCAGAGGAUAUUCUGGAAACCUUUCCAGACGAGCAGUGACGAGCUUUGGGUGUAUAUGAUUUUUUUACUCGUACUCUAUCAAAUAAUAGUAAAGUUUAAGAUAUCGUUCCACAGAGAUUGGAACCACCUAUGCUACAGAUUUGUAUUGCCUUUGUCACUAUUUAAGAGAAUCAAAUUGAUAAAAGGGGCUACUCUUAAAAAUGUAAAAUAAAAGCAAUAAAUAUUUUUGGUUUUUCUGUAAAUAAAAAUAGAGGUUGGAAAACUUUGAAUCAGCAAAAUAAAAGCAUUAUAAUAAAGUCAAAAUUUUAUUAUUUAUUUCGCUGUUUAAUGAAAUGAUCGUUUAUUUCUAAUUCAACCAAAUCACAUACAAGUAUCCGAUUAAUAAUACCUCUUUUGAUUAGUGCAGUUAAUUGAUUAAUAGUUAAACAGAGACCUUGUUUAAAGAAUGACCACUUAUUUCUAAGGCAAUCACUCCAUAUAACAAUAAUACAUAAAUAGCACCGCUCGCGCUUAGUGUUAUCAAUUUAUUGAUAGUUAGUGAUAUUAAAUAAUAAUUGACUAACAACACCUCUUUUGAUUAGUGUAGUUAACCAAUUAAAGUAAUGGCUUCAAACAAGAUUAUCUUAGUUGAGUACACCUAGUGAGAAAAAGCCUCUUUCGAUUAGCCUUUGUUAAAUCAAUAAACUUGUUUAAAUCUCUCUUAAAAAAAUAAUAAGAUAAAGAUUUUGGUAAGUGAAUAUAAUUAUAUCGAUAUAAUCAAUAUUAAAUACCUUGGUUUAUAAAGAUGAUAAAGAGAAAAUAUCAACAUAAGAUGAUAAUAAAAUUAAGAUAAUUAUUAAAAUACUUUUAUAGCUUCAUCUAGUAUCCCAACCAAAGAAAUUACUCCACUAUGGAGAAAAGAUAAAGAAAAAAAAUAUUAUCCUACAAUAAAAGAAAUAACUUUUAGAACUAAGACAAGACAAUAUUAGAGUUGGUGUUCUAUGGACAGGAAUGGUUCUCCUUCCACCGAAAAGUCAUGCCUAUUUAUAGGAAAUUACGUCCAUAAACUUCUAAGGGAUGUCAUCCUUGGAUUGGGGAUAACAUCCCUAGCUCUUGAAUCAAUUUCUUCUACGUGCUUCUUUUUAUAGAUGGCAUCCUUUGAAUUGAAGAUGAUAUCCUUAGAUUGGGGAUGUCAUCCUUGGCCUUUUUGCUGUAUUUGCUUGAACACUCUUCUUUCUUCUCUUUUUCUUUGUUCUCUUUUCCUACAACAUAUAUUAAUAAUUUAUACAAAUAUUGAACAAAAAGUCAUAUACAUAAAUAAAGUAUUUGUUUAUUUAAUAUAAUAUAUACUUAAAAACAUAUAUAAUAUAUGCUUAUCAAAUACCGACAUACUUGAACGUUUGCUCGUCCCCGAGCAAAAUACACAAAAUAAAAUCGCGGCUAAAUUUUUUAAAAUAUUAUUGUGAGAACUUUCUGCAAACAAGAAUAUAACCAAGAUCAAGCCACGAGUUCAAAUAAUCUUUAAUCGUACUCAUGUUCACUUAUUAAGAACCAAAAUUAUAAUAUCUUUUAAUCCCAAGUGUGUCUCACCAAAUGCAGAGAGAUGCCCAUAACUCACAACAUAUCAAUACAAAACAAAGAAGGACAUUAAAAAAUUCGGUCACUCUCAACAAAAAAGUAUCUCAAGCUAUUGAAAAAUUCCAUAAGCUUGACUAUCAUGUAGUUGUCCACUAAUGUAGGAGUUUUUGAGUUGCAAUCAUGUAGGGCUUUAAUAAGGUUGUAAUGUUGGUAUAAGGACAGGUAUGAUACAUAUGGAUAAAGUGACUCAAGUCUCUUACAAGCAAAGGCGGAUUCAGGAUUUCAGGAGGAUGGGUACACCACUAUCCGACCAUCGUUUGAUUUGGUUCUCUAAAACUUACCUUGGAGAACUAUCAAUAAUAGCAUCAUUAUUUAUAGUUACAAAUAAUAAGCUCAAUAUAUUAAAAUUAAAUAACUAAUCAAGAAGAGAGUGGUAAAUGAAAAAAGAGGAAACUUGAAAUUGAAAAAAUUUAAAAUGAUUUAAAUUUUAUUUUUUAUACUUUUUGAAACUCAAUGAUUGAACUAAAAAUAGAAUGAAGAAAACACAGUAAAGAAUCCAUUAAAAAUAAAAAUUUAAUUCAAGGAUAUAUUAAAGGGUGAACCCAAAAAACAUAAGAAUGCAUGGGAAAAAAAAAGAAAAGAAAAGAAAGAUAGGGCAUGAGAUUUGAACAGAACAGAAAAGAAAAGAAUGAAAAAGAGAAAUAGAAAAAUAGAUAAGAGAUGGAAUAUAUAGAAUGGGGAUUCGAACACUGGACAUAGGGGUCAAUGAUGCACAAAGCUACCACUACACCAAAUGCUCUUUUGACUAUCAGUUUCCACGCGAAAAAUUAAGUACUUUAUCCGAAAAACAUCCCUGCGAUACAUAGCCGAAGGAGGGAGCAUGGGUGCACGUGCCCCAUGCCCCUCCACGUGGAUCCGCCUCUGCUUACAAGCGCCACAAUACUUUUAACAAUUAAGCACAAUUGUCUUCCUUCUUUCUAAAAUAAUUUAACCUCCCCUUUUUCAUUGUCUUCCCUUUCUAAACUCUUUCAUUGUGUUUCUUGUUUGCCCUUUUUUUGCAAUUGUCAAAAUUCUCUUUGUUGCUAUAACUUUUUUCUUUCAUUUUUUUUACAAGCAACAAUUUACUUCUUUUAAAGUCACACAACAAUAUUCCUAAAAGAUUAGUAAACCCAACAAUCAUCCUUUCAUCUAUUCAUUCUACUACAACACCCUCACACUUAGUGUUUUGAAUUUUCAAAGUGCCAGUAAGGAAAUAGGGUGAACAAAUAGAUGUGAUAAUAAAAAGUGGCCAAGGAUUAAAGUUUGGCUUAAAAAAGGAUAAUUUAUUUAGGCUCAAAGGGGUUUACAAGGGAUAAAUAUAAUUAAUGCAGGUUAAUUUAGUUAAUAGUUCAACAUGGAAGAUCUACUUUCAUUUCUCAACUCAAAAAUCUACCUAGAAUUUCGCAUCAAACCACAUUCAAGACAAGUUCUAGAUUUUAAGAUAAGUAGGAGAACUUGGCAACAUAACCUGACAACACAAUACACUUGGGAUCAACAAACAUUAUAAUUUUAAUCACCAAUAAACAAAUAUGAGCUUGAAAAGAUAUUUAUUUAACACAUGGAUGACACUCAAUUAAAUCCCUUUUUUCAAAAUCUCAUUCUCAGAAAAAUUAUUUUAUUAGCCGACUUAUGUACUAAAAAUUCUAGAAAAUGUUCAGUUCAAAAUAUUACGGCCAUGGCAAAGAACUGAAUAAAGAAAUCCAUGGAGAUGUAUAAAAGAAGUUAUACUAAAAAAUAUAAACAUACACAUAUAUAUAUUCCUCUACCCCCAUAAUUAUAUAUUGUCAUGUCCCGAUGACAUAUAAUAAAAAAGCAAGAGGAGGUAAAGGGGCUCCCUUGCAUUAUUUUUUUUCUUUUUUCUGGAGCUUGUGAACUCCAACCCCAAUUCUGAAUCACUUUCUUUUUUGCUCCUUGGGGUUCAUCUUAGAGCACAUUGGGCCAAGAACAUCACAAAAUAUUUUCUUUUUCUUACAUCCCGAUCUUUCUCGGCCUUGUCUCGAGCGGGCAAAUACUAGUACAUGGUGAUCCUUAACUCCAUUCUGCAUUUUUCACAAGGAUCAUUCCAUGAAUUUUCUUGAAAGUCUCAAAUUACAAAAUCCAAAAAAUCAUAAUAAUCAAAAAAAUUGAAGAAUGAUGGUCCAUGAAAAUUUCGUUUUUUUGUAUAACGACCUCUUCGUUCUCAUUUUCUUCAAAAUUAAUCAAUUUAUGUGAAUAAGAAAAUUGGAAUAAGCACUCAUCACCUAUUGAAUUAUAUUCAACCAAACCUUUAUUGCCAGUCUUCUCGAUUGGAUCGGGAUGUUCGCCAUGAGUGGUAGAUUCUUUCUUACAAUAAUUUUUAUUAGUUGGUCCAUCCUCACAAGUUGCAAUUUCAUUUAAAAGCCCGCCACAAAAAAUCAAGGAGAUUGCCAUACUUACUAAUUGAUUUACUUUUAUUGUUAGAUCCGUAAUGGCUAUAUUAUUCUGUGCAUAUUUUUCAUCGGUAUUUUCAAUGAAAUUAUGCACAUCUUUUUUCAAGUUUAUAUUCUCCUCUUGAGGUGAUUGACUCUCAAUAUUUUGAUUCUUUUGUGAAUAUUGAUUGCACUCUGGAUUUGUCACGACCCAGUUCCCGAACCCGGUUAUGAUUGCGCCUCUCGUGAAGACAAGUCCAGCCAGACCAAAAUAGAACACUUCUGUUAAACAGUUAAAUAUCAUAAACAGUUCUAAACAUGAUAUAAUAGCCAUAAUUUGCGGAAAAUAACGAUGACAAUAGAAGAAACCAUCCUGACACAGCCCAAACUGGGGUGUCACAAGUCACGAGCAUCUAUUAGGGUGUAAAUACAACUACAAGGUCUAAAUUAUACAAAACAUGAAUAAUUAACAAAAGGGAGAAAUGUGGUGCUGCGAACGCCGGCAGCCACCUCGCUUCCGAUGCGAUAACUCUGCCUCUGAUCAACUAAAACCCACUACCGGGUGUAUAAAUACUUGCAUCUACACACAAGGUGCAGGGAGUAAAGUGUGUACUCCAACACAGUGAGUAAUAAAGGUAAAUAACAACUGAGUAGUAAUAAAUCACGUAAAGCAACCAACAUGCUAUAUAGAAGCAGUGUAAAACCCUAUGAGAAAAAUAGUGAAGCUGUGAAAUCUUUAGAAAUAUCUUAGCUUAGUUUAAACCUCUUUUGGAAAUGACUUUCUCAACAGUUACACAAUGAAUGCAAAACAGUUACUGUCGCCUUUCUCAACUUACUGUCGUCUUACGGUGUCUGCGAGGGUUUUCACCAAUAAGACUCUCUUAUUUUUUAUUUCUCUCAGCUCCCGUCUCCUUACGGUGCCUGUGAGGGUUUUCACCAAUGAGACUCUCUCGUUUUCAUUAUUUUUUCGCUUGGACCAGAGUGUUGCCCCUGAUAUGAAUUACCUCUCCUUGCUUGACUUGGCAUCUCUCGAAGACUGAUGUGAUGGUCUUUCUUUGGACCGUAACGUGAGCUUUUGGAUAGGGUUAAAAAGAAAGGAUAUCAAAGGCUCAAAACAAUUCACAUGGGUUCAAAAUUACAACUUUCAGAAUAAGAUUUCUUACAACAACUACAACUUCUGCCCCAUUUUCUUGCUUGGGGACUUUUGGAUUUUUGUUUUGAUGGGACUGAACCGUAAGGCUGCCUACGUAUCCUUAAAAGGAAUCAGGUCGAACGUAGUUCAUGUUAUAAGAAUUACUUUGUUUGUUGUGAUUUUUCUUUUCUUUUUCUUUUCUCUUCUCUCCUUCUUUUUCUUUUUUGUUGUUGUUUUUCUUCUUCUUUUUUUGUUUUCUUUUUUCCUUUUCUCUUUCUUCUUCUUUUCUUCUCUCUCUUUUCAUUCUUUUUCUUUUCUCUUUUUCCUUUACUCAUCUUUCACGGUUGCGNNNNNNNNNNNNNNNNNNNNNNNNNNNNNNNNNNNNNNNNNNNNNNNNNNNNNNNNNNNNNNNNNNNNNNNNNNNNNNNNNNNNNNNNNNNNNNNNNNNNNNNNNNNNNNNNNNNNNNNNNNNNNNNNNNNNNNNNNNNNNNNNNNNNNNNNNNNNNNNNNNNNNNNNNNNNNNNNNNNNNNNNNNNNNNNNNNNNNNNNNNNNNNNNNNNNNNNNNNNNNNNNNNNNNNNNNNNNNNNNNNNNNNNNNNNNNNNNNNNNNNNNNNNNNNNNNNNNNNNNNNNNNNNNNNNNNNNNNNNNNNNNNNNNNNNNNNNNNNNNNNNNNNNNNNNNNNNNNNAAAUAUUAAGAAACUUUGAGGUUUUAUCUAAGAAGGUUGAAAGAGAAAAAGGGUAUCUGAUUACAACAAUACAAAGUGAUCAUGGAGGAGAAUUUGAAAGUAGAGCAUUCGAAGACUUCUGUAAUGAUCAAGGAUAUACUCAUAAUUUCUCUGCACCAAGAUCACCCCAACGGAAUGGCGUUGUGGAACAGAAAAAUAGAACACUACAAGAAAUGGCAAGAAAGAUGCUACAGGAUCAUUCUCUACCAAACCAUUUUUGGGCAGAAGGAGUAAGUACAGCAUGUCACAUUCUCAACCGAUGUCUCAUAAGGCCAAUUCUAAAGAAAACCCCUUAUGAAUUGUGGAAAGGUAAACGUCCUAAUAUUAGUUACUUUCAUCCCUUUGGAAGUAAGUGUUUCAUUCACAAUAAUGGUAAGGACAAUCUUGAAAAUUUUGAUCCAAGAAGUGAUGAAGGUAUUUUUCUGGGUAAUUCAUUAAAUAGUAGAUCCUUUAGGGUAUACAACAAAUGCAUGAUGUGUGUGGAAGAAUCUGUGCAUAUUAUAUUUGAUGAAAAUAACUCCUCAGUCGAGAAAGGUAUUAUUGCAGGUGAUGAAGAUCAAAUUCAAGAAAAUCAGGAGACAAGAAAAUUGCAAAAGUCGAUUGAUGGAUCUAACGUUGUGAUAGAGUCAACUAAUGAAACCAGCAACAAUCCACCAGAACUACCGAAGGAGUCGACUACUCAUACAGUUCACCCAAACGAAUGGAGAAGUGAACAUGAAUAUCCUCAAAAAUUCAUCAUAGGAGAUCCAAAUGAAGGAAUGAAAACUAGGAACCUCUCAAGAAGAAAGAAAACAUAGCACUAAUCUCUCAGAUUGAGCCAAAGAAAAUAGAGGAAGCUCUUAAAGAUUCAUGUUGGAUGCAAGCGAUGCAAGAUAAGUUAGAUCAAUUCGAAAUCAAGUAUGGAAACUGAUACCCAAACCUGAAAAUGUUUCUGUGAUAGGGACAAAGUGGGUCUUCAGAAAUAAGCUCAAUGAGGAUGCAAAAAUCGUAAGAAAUAAAGCCAGAUUAGUUGCUCAAGGAUAUUCACAACAAGAAGGAGUCGACUAUGAUGAAACCUUUGCCCCAGUAGCUCGACUAGAAUCUAUACGCAUUUUGUUGGCAUAUGCAUCCUUUAAAGGAUUUAAGUUAUUUCAGAUGGAUGUUAAAAGUGCCUUUUUAAAUGAUUUCAUCGAAGAGGAAGUAUAUGUGAAGCAACCCCCUGGGUUUGUAGACUCAACGUUUCUAUAUCAUGUGUAUAAGCUAACUAAAGCACUGUACGGGCUGAAACAAGCUCCACAAGCAUGGUAUGAAAGAUUAAGCUCUUUUCUUAUUGAUCAUGGGUUUACAAGAGGUAAAGUAGAUACUACUCUGUUUAUUAAAAGAUCAUUAGAAGUUAAUCUUAUUAUUCAAAUUUAUAUUGAUGAUAUUAUAUUUGGUAGUACUAAUCCUUUUAUGUGCAACGAAUUUUCAAAUCUUAUGCAAAGUGAGUUUGAAAUGAAUAUGAUGGGGGAACUGAAGUUCUUUCUUAGACUCCAAAUUCAACAAUCUGAAGAAGGAACAUUCAUAUGUCAGACUAAAUACGCAAAGGACCUGAUCCAAAAAUCCGGCAUGAGCAGUGCCAAAGCUAUUGGCACACCAAUGAGUCCUUCAACAAGUCUUGACAAAGAUGAACAGGGAAAAUCUGUUGAUGAAACUAAGUAUCGUGGAAUGAUUGGUUCUCUUCUUUAUCUAACUGCUAGUCGACCAGAUAUUAUUUAACGUUUGUAAAUGUGUCAGGUUUCAGUCAGCUCCUAAGGAGUCUCACCUGACUGCAGUAAAAAGAAUUAUUCGAUAUCUCAUUGGAACUGUCUCUUAUGGAUUAUGGUAUCUUCAUUCUAACACUUUUAAAUUAGAAGGUUUUUCAGAUGCUGAUCUUGCAGGUGAUAAGGAAGACAGAAAAAUCACGAGUGGGACAUGUCAAUUGCUUGGCAAAGCUUUGAUAUCUUGGAAUAGUAAAAAAUAAGGAUCAGUUGUACUAUCUACGACUGAAGCUGAAUUCAUUGUUAUUGGACAAUGUUGUGCACAACUACUGUGGAUGUCUCAUCAACUUGGUGACUAUGAAUUAUUUUUUAAGCCUAUUCAAAUCUUCUGUGAUAAUUCUAGUGUUAUAUGUCUUUCAAAGAAUCAUGUGCAUCAUUCUAUAGCAAAGCAUAUAGACAUCAAGCAUCAUUUUAUUAGGGAUCAUGUUCUUAAGGGAAACAUAGAAAUAUCUUUUGUUGGAACAACUGAUCAAUUAGCAGAUAUUUUUACUAAGCCUUUAUUAGAGGAUAGGUUUUGUGCUUUGAGAAAAUUACUUGGCAUUACUUGCAUUAAUAAUAAUUUAUAGGAUCUAUGUGUAAUCCGGUUAGUUUUGUAGGUUUAAUAUUUGUCUCUUACUUUUUCAUUAUUUACUCCUCCGUUUUCCCUCUCUUUUCCUCUUCUUUCACAUCAGUUGCGACAUUCAAAGAUGGAAAGCCAAUCAUCGCGUCUGUUUAACUGACGCCUUUUCCUUUUCUGUACUCAACCGUCAGAAGGUUCAGAAUCCCUCUUUUUAAGGCGGAGAUCUCUUUUCAAUCACUUUCAUCUCUAUCAUCUAGAAAAUCCUUCUCCAAAGCUCUGCUCAAACCACUAUCCUUCAAUGGCUAAAUACUCCAUGAACCCAUCUGCCUCCACCAGAAAAAGUACCCGCUCAAAAGAAAAAACCCCUUCUAUGCCCCCACAACAAGUAGACCUAGGUUCCGACCAUUCUAAGGGUUUCGCUUCUGCACAGGGCAAUUUGUCUGAUCAUUCUCAAAUCUUAGGAGAAAAAGCUUUUGGAAAACGGCCUAUGAAAGACCCCCCAUGUUUCCUCCACUCUAAAGAAAUCCAAAAUAGAUCUUUCUGGCUCUCUAAAAUCUGACCUGAAUUUCUGGGAUUCUCCAAACAGGGAUCUUUUCAUCGCUUUGAAAGACAAGCCCAUCGAUCAUGGAAGGGUAGUCGACCUUGACGAUAUGGAAGCCCUGAAUUGUAAGGUAAAAAAUCUUUUUUUUCAUCAAUGUUGGUCAAAGUUUCUCUCUAUUCCUCCACCUAAAGUCUAUGAACCCCUAGUAAAGAUGUUUUAUGCUAAUCUUCGUUCUAGUAAACCUGAUAAGUUGGAAUCCUUAGUGUUAGGUAAGCGCAUUGUUCUUGAUUGUGCCAUGUUUGAUUCACUCUUUCAGUGUAAAUGUUCUGGUUUCCCCAUGCUUUUCAAAAAUACCUGGCCCGAUGAUUUUGAAAUCUCCUUUGAUCAAGCUAAACGGUGUAUUGCUGAGUGUUCUUCUGAAUCCCUCCCCAACCAGUUAGGCCCCAGUGAUGUUAGUUUUGAAACUCGAGUUAUAGCUCAUAUCGUAGCAACUACUCUGCUUCAUCGCAUUGGUUCCUUAUCCACCUUCUCUCAAAGAGACUCCUUCUUGGUGUAUUGUCUUGUGACCAAACUCAAAGUCAAGUUAUCCUUUUGGGUCAUUAACUUUAUGAUUGAAAGUGCAGAAGAUCCCACUAGUCUACCCUAUGGUAUGGCUAUCACUCACAUCCUGGAAGCUCACCAAAUUUCCCUAUCUGCUUAUCCCUUUAUCACUGUUUCAAAAUCUUAUAAUUCCAUAGCCUUUGCAAGUAUGGGGUAUGUGAGUGUGAAAGGCUCAUGGGGUAAGAAGCACGAAGGCGAAGUCAAGCAUGCUCCAAUAGAUCCCAAACCCAAAACUUCUGCCUUUCAUCCUAGUCCUAGUGAUCCUGAUCUUGCUGAGAAGCUUCGUGCCAUUGACAAUCAACUCUCUAAAAUUAAAGAUCUCCUCACAGCCACGCAGUCAACUGUUGGUGACAUUCAUGCCAUCUCCAAAGAAACAGGGUCUGGUGAGUCCAAGAUAAGAGUUGAUGUUCUUAGAGUAAGGGAGAACGCUGUCAAGGCAUUCAAGGAGAUUCAUGACAGGUUUGAUGGAAUGGGCAUCUCAGCCAAUGCCAGCUUUGACCGACUGAAGGAGGCCAUCUGUAAUACUCUCACCUACUUUUUGAGUCGUUAAUGUGGUUGUUUAAGACAAUUUUUUUGUUGUGCUAUUUUUGGAUUGUUAAAUCAGUUAUUGGACAAUUUUUGUUUUUGUUCUGUUUGCUUUUUGGACUAUAACUCUGUUAUAUAUAAUGCUAUAUACCUUGUUUUAGUUCGUGGUUUGCUCUGCCUAUUCCCUCUCUGUUGAUUCCAAAAAGGGGGAGAAAGAUAUAUGUAUGUAUCUACAAAGUUAGUCGAUUGAAGGGUAAGUGCACUUUAGCAUCCUCUGCAACAGGAGUCGACUACAACAUUUAUAACCAUGGACCAGUCAACUGCAUGAAUUGAUGGGGAGUACCAUAGACCAGUCAACUGCAUACAUUGAGGGGGAUUAAAAUACAGGGAAGUCAACUAUUGUUUAUACAUAUAUAUUAUUUUGUCAUCGUCAAAAAGGGGGAAAUGGUUAGAUCUGAUUUUAAUAAUGCAAAUAAUAUAUCUGUGCAGUAACUCAUGGACAACAAUUCAAAGAUUGAAGGAAUCAAUUAGAGAAGAUCAAGGAAUCAUGGAGUAACUACGAGAUGGAAGCAAUCAAUCAGGGAACUUAACAAGAUUAGCAAAGAUCACAAAAUCAAAGGACAGCUACGAGAUGGAAGGAAUCAAGAAAAACAAUCCAGGAUUAGAGAAAUCAAUCAAAGCCAAGACGGAAUCAAUCAAGCCUAAACUUAAGGAAUCAAACAAGUUGAGUGUAUCCAAAUCCGGAAGGCGCAAGAUCCUGGGAAGCAUAUAUGGAAAAUCAAUCAAGGAUCUCGUAAUCAUAGCCGUUGGUGUAUGACCUUAGUCUUGGAAAGAAUCAAUCUCUCCAAUCAAAUCUCUUGGGUUGGCAAAUCUCUCCAGAAACCAAGCCUCUCUCAAAGUAUUUAAACUUGUAUAUGUACCCUAGAACGAUAUACUUUAAACGAAUCCAAUACCCUCUCUUUAUUCUACUACAAACAAACAUUGUAGCUCUACCAGAUCUGAUGUGUAACAAGUUAGAGAACAAAGAGAGAACAACAUUGGUGAGGCAUUGUAUCAAAAGAAACAAGUGAAAUAGGAACUAAGUGAUCGGUGUAGAUCACACCAUUCUCUGUAUUCUCAAAGAAACUCAUUCACUGAAAAGGAACUCCCUUGCAACACAAGGGGACUAGACUAGGAUUCACAUUGAAUUUGAACCAGUAUACAUGCUCUGGUGUCUUUAAUUCCUGCAUUUAAUUUCUGCAUUUUAUCUUCUGUUUUUACCUGCAUCAAGUUCUUAUAUCUAGUCGACUAAUCGUAAAACUGGUCAACUGAUAGCUAUUAAGUUUAAAAAUAGACAAUUCACCCCCAAUCCCUCUUGUACUUUCACCCGGGGGUCGAGUCUGGCCAAUUUUGGGAUUUUUGAGUUAAUUUGAUAAUUUUCGUACGAGUUUCAUUCCUUAGAGUAUAUUGAUGAUAAUAUACUGAUUUUGGUUAGAUUUGGGGCAUUUGGAGGCCAAAUCGAGAGGCAAGGGCGUCGCAGGCUAGAGUUUAGCUUGGCUUGAGGUAAGUGACACUUCCAAACUUGGUUCUGAGUGUUCGAAACCCCGAACUAUGUGCUCUAUGAUUACUAUUGAGGUGACGCAAAUGCUAAGUGAUGGGCGUGUGGCCGUGCACCAUGAGAAUCGCGGCAUGGAUCAUUCUGUGGCACCACUUAAUGACUCUUUCUUGCUGAUAUCUAUGUUAUGGUUAUGUGAUUAAGUAAAUGAACUGUAAAUCAUGCUAAUUAUCAUGUUAAGGCUUCACGCCUAUCGCUCCCCCUUUUUCCUCGCGGAAUUCGGUUUUCGACAUUCAUGGGAAACAACUCAUUUCCUUUUGGGAAUUAGGUAUUUGAAUUUGAAGAGUCACCACCUAACGAAUUAAGGUGCUUUAGGGCACCUAGAGCAAUUAACUCAUAUGGCUAGUUUGCAUUACCAGAGAUUAGGGUAAGGGCUCGAAAUAACCUUGACGGAAAGGUGUUAGGCACCCCUCGCGGUCCACAACGGUGGAUCCCGACCGAACUUGAUUUAUGUGAAUUAGUCAUUUAACAGAUAAGUAGUCUAAGCACACAUUUGUAAAUAAAGGAAGUUUAGGCAGUCUAAGUACACAUAUGUAAAUAAAGAAAGUUUAGGCAGUCUAAGCACACAUAUGUAAAUAAAGGAAAUUUAAUAGAUAGGUAGUCUAAGCAUAUAUGUAAAUAAGGUGAGCGGAGUCCUAGGUUUGUUGGCCUAUAGGAUCACAUCUGUAUAGUACCCGGUAAGCCUUCCUCUAUUAGAGGGGUUACGCGUGGUAUUGGCGCACAGGUCAUCAUAUCCUUUACUACCCAAUUCCCUCCCCUUGGUCAUAGCCUAAAGCACUCUAGCAACCUUGAGAUGUUUCCUAUGCGUGCACUACCCGUCCCUUUACUUAUAUAGUCCCGGAGGUAUUUUAGGACUUCUAGUUAUAGUGGAUCGAGACUUUCCUACAGUAAUUAAAAGGAGAAAAUUCUAGGCGACAAACAAAACAAUUAAGACUGUCAAGUAAAGAACAAUUAAGGGGGCUCACAUUUCACCUCCACAAAUAGAACAAACAAAUGCACAUCUCAGACCACAGUGUUUUAGAAAUUUGAAGAGAGUCCUAAUGACAGGAUAUCUAGGCGAGCAUGACAAGCAGAGAAUAUGCAAUAUUAAGGCAAAAGUGUUAAAGACCUAUUUCAGUUGCCUACUGAAUUUUAGAACCUGUUAAAUCUGGGCAACUAUAAACAAAGCGGUUUCACAAUUUUUAUUAAACCUUGAAUAUCUAUAGGCUUGCCUAGGGGUGAAUCCAUAAUACCCUAUACACAUGUUAUCUAAAUGCAAUCAGAAUUUUGAGAACCAUUUUAAAACAAUUGAGUUUAUUAAGUCCUAUAAGCAUGGCGUCUAAAUGCAGUGAUUAUUUUUCAAAACAUGCUGAAGACUGAUUUAAGCAAUGUUAGCAUGCAGAAACUGAUCUUUUCAAGCAAAACUGCUUAAUUUUUAUCACAACCCGGAUUUUCCACCCUCGAGAGCCGUGAUGACGCCUAUUCAUGAAAGCUAGGUAAGCCAAAUUAUUUUAAUUAGUUAACCUUUUCCAGUUUUAAACCAUUAUCAGUAAUAAGAAGAUAUCAUGCAAAUAGCGAAAAUAAUUAAGCGGAUGGAAAAAUCUGAUAAAUUAAUCUUAAUACAAACUGCGGAAGUCUAAAUACAACUCUACCCAAAAUUUGGUGUCACAGUUUCACUAACGAUCUAAGAACACUACAUACAAAGUCUGAAAGAUGAAAUAUACAUUGUUUCUGAAAUAGGAUAAAGGAAAAGUAGGAGGUGACGCCAAGGCCUGCGGACGCAUGCAGGACUACCUAGGGUCUCCUGUUGGACUGAAGGCAGCAACCUCACUACGGUCUGAAGUCUACAACACUGAGAUCUGCACAAAAGAGUGUAGAGUGUAGUAUUAGCACAACCAACUCCACGUGCUGGUAAGUGUCUAGCCUAACCUCGGGGAAGUAGUGACGAGGCUAGGACCAGACUACCAAGUAAACUUGUGCAGUUAUAUCAUAACCAAUAGAAAUAGAAGCAGAUAAUUGCAAUUAAAAUUGGGCAGGGGAAACAUGCUUUGGGGGAAUAAUAGAUAACAACAGAAUAGCAGGAGAAUAUAAAGAAACCAAAAUCCAAUUACUAACAUGGAUAGGGAAAACAAAUGUAGAGUUCACUUUCGUUUCACAUCUCGUUGCAGGCGUGCAACCCGAACCCAUUUCAUGUAUCUCGUUGUAGGCGUGCAACCUGAUCCCAUUUCAUAUAUCUCGUUGCAGGCAUGCAACCCGCUUCCAUCUCACAUAUCUCNNNNNNNNNNNNNNNNNNNNNNNNNGUUACAGGCAUGCAACCCGCUCCCACUUCACAUAUCUUGUUGUAGGCGUGCAACCCGAUCCCAUUUCAUGUAUCUGUUGCAGGAGUGCAACCCGCUCCCAUUUCACAUAUCUUGUUGCAGGCGUGCAACCUGAUCCCAUUUCUUUUAUCAACACCAAUCACAAAAAGAGUCCCGGUAAGGGAACAAUAAUAUCAAAACAAACAUCCCGGCAAGGGAACAAUUAUAUGACAAUAACAUCCCGGCAAGGGAACAAUAAUGAUAAUAAUAUCCCGGCAAGGGAACAGUAAUGAUAAUAACAUCCCGGCAAGGGAAUAGUAAUGAUAAUACCAUGUGAAGCACAAUAAACCACAACGGAGUCAUAAUGAUUACAAUGCAAGACUCACGGGCGUGCUUGACACCAACGUAUAGAUACUCGUCACCAUGCAUAUACGUCGUACUCCACAAUUAACAAGUAGCAAAUAAGACACGACUCAUAAUCCCUCAAGCUAAGGUUAGACCAAACACUUACCUCGAUGCCACGAACAUAAUUUAAGCCUCUACUAUCGCUUUACCUCUUGAUUCCACCACCAAUUCGCUCGUAUCUAGCCACAAGUUACUUAAUUACAUCAAUAAACGCUAAAUGAAUCAACCUCAAUGCAUGAAAAUGAGUUUUCCAAAGUUUUACCCAAAAAGUCAAAAAUCAUCCCCGGGCCCACAUGGUCAAAACCCGAGGUUCGAACCAAAACCCGAUUACUCAUUCCCCUACAAACCCAAAUAUAUAAUUUGUUUUGAAAUCGGACCUCAAAUCAAGGUCCAAAUCCUCAAGUUUUGAAAACCCUAGGUUCUACCCAAAACACCCAAUUUUCCCCAUGAAAAUCAAUGGUUUUGAGUUGAAAUCAUGAUAAAAGAUAUAUUAAUGAUUGAAGGAAACGAGUUAAAAUUGACUUACAAUCGAUUUGGAAGAAGAGUUGUUCUUGAAAAAUCGCCCUAGGGAGUUUGUGUUUUGAAAAGAUGUGAAAAAAUUUCGGCUAAGUAUAAAAAGUUGCAGGUUGCAGGUAUGGGAAUUGCGAACCCUGAUCCCUGUUAUGUCCGCAUUUGCGAAGGGGGUUCUCACAAUUGAGAUUUGGGAAAUAUGAACAAAGGAUGGCAUUUGCGAUAGCAGACCCAAAAGGGGUGCAUCGCAUUUGCGAAGGAAAUCUCGCAUUUGCGAGAUGGAUCUAGCUUGGACUGCUUCCGCAAUUGCACAAGGCCCUCGCAUUUGCAAUAUCUUAUUUGUAUGCCAGGCUUCGCAAAUGCAAAGCCUGCAGGCCUGAACACACCAACUAUAAAACCUGUAAUUCAUCAAAUCCAAAGUCCACCCCGUGGCCUAUCCAAAACUCACCCGAGCCCUCGGGGCUCCAAACCAAACAUGCACACCAACCUAAAAAUAUCAUACGGACUCGUUCAUGCAUUCAAAUCACGAAAAUAACAUCAACAACUAGGAAUUUAGUAUCAAAAUCAUGAAAUUUCCUUAAGAACUUCAAAUUUCCAAUUUUCUCAAAAAUGAUCCGAUUCACGUCGUUUCAAGUCCGUUUCUUACCAAACUUCACAUACUUAUCUUAAAUCACAUAUAAGACCUGUACCACGUGCCAGAACCAAAAUACGGGCCCAAUACCAUUAAGUUUUAAUCACAAUUCAUUUCCAAAUCUCAUAAAUAAUUUCAGAAAACAAUAUUUCUCUAAAAAUUCAUUUAUCGAGCUUAGGACCUCGGAAUUCGAUUCCGGGCAUACGCCCAAGUCUCAUAUUUUCCUACGGACCUUUCGGACUGUCAAAUUACGGGUCCAGGUCUGUUUACUCAAAAUGUUGACCGAAGUCAACUUAAUUCAUUUUACAAUUGAAAUUCAUCAUUGUUUUCACAAAUUUUCACAUAAUGUCUAUCCGGCUACGCGCAAAUCGAGAUGCUGAAAGAGGUUUCUAAGACCUCGGAAUACAUAAUUCAUUUCUAAAAUAAGUGAUGACCUUUUGGGUCAUCACAUUCUUCACCUCUAAAACAAUUGUUCGUCCUCAAACGGACGUAAGAAGGAAGUACCUGAGUCGCGGAAAAGAUGGGGAUAACGGCUUCGCAUAUCGGACUCGGACUCCUAGGUCGAUGUCUCAGUAGGCUGACCUCUCCACUGAACACGAACAGAAGGAAAACUCUUCAAUCUCAACUGACGAACCUGCUGGUCUAGAAUAGCUACAGGCUUUUCCUCAUAAAACAAGUCCUUGUCCAACUAGACAGUGCUGAAAUCUAACACGUGGGAUGGAUCACCGUGAUAUUUUCGAAACAUGGACACAUGAAAUACUGGAUGCACAGUUGAUAAGCUCGGUAGCAACAAAGUCUGUAAGCCACCUCUCCCACUCGAUCAAGAAUCUCAAACGGGCCAAUAAACCUAGGGCUAAGUUUGCCUUUUUUUCCCAAAUCUCAUCACGCCCUUCAUAGGCGACACCCGAAGCAAUAGUCGCCCAACGACCAUGAAUGCCAAAUCUCGAAACUUACGGUCGGCAUAAAUCUUUUGCAUGGACUGAGCUGUACGAAGCCUAUCCUGAAUAAUCCUGACCUUGUCCAAGGCAUCCUAAACCAGAUCUGUACCCAACAACCGAGCCUCUCCCGGCUCAAACUAUCCAACCGAAGACUGACAGUGCCUACUAUAUAAAGCCUCAUAAAGAGCCAUCUGAAUGCUUGACUGGUAGCUAUUGUCGUAGGCAAACUCUGGUAAAGGCAAAAACUGAUCCCACGAGCCUCCAAAUUCAAUGACACAAGCUCGGAGCAUAUCCUCCAAAAUUUGAAUGGUCCGCUCAGACUGGCCGUUCGUCUGAGGAUGAACACGAUGUGCUCAACUAAACUCGUAUGCCCAACUCUCACUGAACUGCUCUCCAGAAAUGGGAGAUAAACUACGUGCCACGGUCCGAAAUGAUAGACACGGGCACACCAUGAAAACGAACUAUCUCCCGGAUAUAGAUCUUAGCUAACCUCUCAGAAAAAUAGAAGACUACCACAGGAAUGAAAUCUGCUGACUUGAUCAGCCUAUCAACAAUAAACCACACUACAUCGUACUUCCUCUGAGUCCGUGGGAGUCCAACAACGAAGUCCAUAGUGAUACGCUCCCACUUCCACUCAGGAAUCUCAAUCUUCUGGAACAAACCACCAGGUCUCUGAUGCUCGUACUUAACCUACUGACAAUUCAAACACCGAGCCACAUAUGCAACGAUAUCCUUCUUCAUUCUCUGCCCCCAAUAAUACUGCCACAAAUCCUGAUACAUCCUUAAGGCGCCCGGAUAAAUAGAGUACCGAGAGCUAUGGGCCUCCUCUAAAAUCAACUCUUGCAGUCUAUCUACAUUAGGUACACAAACUCGACCCUGCAAUCUCAAAACUCCAUCAUCACCUAAGGUAACCUUCUUGGCACCUCUGUGCUGCACCGUGUCUUUAAGGACACACAAAUGGGGAUCAUCAUAUUGCUGAUCUCGGAUACGAUCCAAUAAAGAAGAACAAGCGAUUGUGCAAGCUAACACACGACUGGGAUCAGAAACAUCAAACCUCACGAACUAAUUGGCCAAAGCCUGAACAUCUAAAGCAAGCGGUCUCUCACCGACCAGAAUAUAAGCAAGACUACCCAUAUUGGCUGACUUUCUACUCAAAGCAUCGGCGACAACAUUGGCCUUUCCCGAAUGAUAUAAGAUAGUGAUAUCAUAGUCCUUUAAUAGCUCUAACCACCUUCUCUGCCUCAAAUUCAACUCAUUUUGCUUGAACACAUACUACAGACUCUUGUGAUCCGUGAACACCUCACAUGACACACCAUAUAGAUAAUGCCUCCAAAUCUUCAACGCGCGAACAAUGGCUGCCAACUCCAAAUCCUAAACCAGAUAGUUUUUCUCAUGAAUAUUCAACUGCCGCGAAGCAUAGGCAAUGAACUUGCCAUCCUACAUCAACAGUGCACCAAGUCCAAUACGAGAUGCAUUAUAAUAAACUGUAUAAGGCCCUGAAUCUAUGGGCAAAACCAACACCGGUGCCGUAGUCAGAGCUAUUUUGAGUUUCUGAAAGCUCGCAUCACACUCAUCCGACCAUCUAAACUGGGCACCCUUCUGGGUCAACCUGGUCAUCGGGGCUGCGAUAGAUGAAAACCCCUCUACGAGCUGAUGGUAGUAGCCUGCCAAUCUCAAGAAACUCCGAAUAUCCGUAGCUGAUGCUGGUCUAGGCCAGUUCUUGACUGGCUCAAUCUUCUUCGGAUCAACCUGAAUACCCUCUACUGAUACAAAAUGACCCAGGAAUGCAACUGAACUCAACCAGAACUCACACUUAGAAAACUUAACAUACAAAUGAUUAUCCCUCAAGGUUUGAAGAACCACUCUAAGAUGCUGCUCGUGCUCCUCCCGACUGCGGGAAUAGAUCAAAAUAUCAUCAAUGAAUACUAUCACGAAUGAAUCCAAAUAAGGCCUGAACACUCGGUUCAUCAAAUCCAUAAAUGUUGCUGGGGCAUUUGUCAACCUAAAUGACAUCACUAGGAAUUCAUAAUGCCCGUACCGAGUGCGAAAAGUUGUCUUAGAAACAUCAAAUGCCCUAAUCCUCAACUGAUGGUAUCCAUAUCCCAAGUCAAUCUUCAAAAAUAUCUUAGCAUCCAAAAGUUGAUCAAACAAAUCAUCAAUCCUCGGCAAUGGAUACUUACUAUUGAUUGUAACCUUGUUCAACUGUCGGUAAUCAAUACACAUUCUCAUCGAUCAGUCCUUCUUAUUAACAAACAACACUGGCGCACCCCAAGGCAAAACACUAAGUCUAAUGAAACCUUUCUCAAGCAAGUCUUUCAACUACUCCUUCAACUCUUUCAACUCGGGCGGGGUCAUACGAUACGGCGGAAUAUAAAUGGACUGGGUGCCCAGAGCCAAAUCAAUGCAAAAGUCAAUAUCCCUAUCGGGUGGCAUACCCGGCAGGUCUGACGAGAAUACCUUAGGAAACUCACAAACAAUGGGCACAGAAUCAAUAGAAGGGACCUCAGCACUAGAAUCACGAACAUAGGCCAAAUAGGCCAAACACCCCUUCUCGACCAUACGUCGAGCCUUCAUAUAAGAGAUAACACUAUGGGUAGAAUGACCAGGAGUACCUCUCCACUCUAAACGAGGUAAACCCGGCAAGGCUAAGGUCAAAGUCUUGGCAUCACAGUCCAAGAUAGCGCGAUAAGGUGAUAACCAGUCCAUCCCUAAUAUGACAUCGAAAUCAACCAUGUCCAGAAGAAGAAAAUCUACACGAGUCUCAAGAACCCCAAUCACAACUAUACAAGAACGAUGGACUCGAUCUCCCAUAAUAGAAUCACCCACCCGUGUAGACACAUAAACAGGAGAACUCAAAGAAUUACUAGGUAUGACCAGAUACGGUGCAAAAUAAGAUGACACAUAGGAGUACAUAGAUCCUAGAUCAAAUAAAAUUGAAGCAUCUCUGCUACAAACCAGAAUAGUACAAGUGAUAACUGCAUCGGAAGUCUCAGCCUCGUGCCUGGCUAGAAGAGCAUAACAUCGAGGUUGGGCCCCACUACCCUGAACUACAUCUCUAGGACGGCCUACUGCUGGCCAGCCUCCACCUCUAGCGGCCUGAGCUCCACCUCUAAUACCUCUACCUACACCUCUACCUACACCUCUAACACCUCUACCCUCACCUCUAGUUGGCUGGGUAGGUUGUGGAACACUCGGUGCCUAAACCAUGGCACGGUAACCCUGUUGCUAAGAACUACUCGGUGCUCGAGGGAAAUAUCUAGCAAUGUGCCUCGUGUCGCCACAAGGAAAACAAGCCCUCGGUUGUUGGGGCUGACGACCUUGGAAACUCCUAAGCGGCGAUGUACUGAUAGGAGCUGAUGGUGCACUAUAGGUCUGUUGAUCAGAAUACUGCAUAUGAGAACCACAGCCACCUGAAGCACUGUGAAAAACCUGAAGUGUUGACUGAAAAGGACUAGGAGGAUGGCCACUACCAUACGAAUCUCUGCCUCCACACGAGGUAUUACUGAAUCGGCCUGAAUGACGAGGCCUCUUGUCACACCCCUGACCAUCUCCCUGCGAUGGAACCAUCUCAACUCUCCUGGCCACAUUGGCGCCUCCUAGAAAGAAAUCUUACUCCAGUCUCCUUGGCCAUCUGAAGUCGAAUAGGCUGGAUAAGUCCCUCAAUGNNNNNNNNNNNNNNNNNNNNNNNNNCACCCUCCUCUCUCUCUCUCAGUGGGAAGUAUGAUAAAAGCAUGACGAGCCAAGUCAAUGAAUCUGAUCUCAUACUAAGUAACAGUCAUAGAACCCUGCUAGAAACGCUUAAACUGCCCCCGAUAGGCCUCUCUCUGAGUAAUAGGGAGAAACUUCUCCAGAAAUAGCUGAGUAAACUGAGUAAAGCUGGUGAUCCAGCUGGUCUAGCCAAGGAAUAAUCUCUCUACCAAGUCUUGGAAGAUCCAGACAAGCGAAAAGUAGCAAAAUCGACCCCAUUGGUCUCCACUAUCCCCAUGUUCCUGAGAACAUCAUGACAAUUGUCUAGAUAAUCAUGGGGAUCCUCAGAAGAUGCACCGCUGAAAGUCGUGGUGAAGAGCUUGGUGAACCUGUCCAACCUCCACAAAGCAUCGGCAGACAUAACUGCUUCAUCACCGGUCUGAGCUACCACACUCGACUGAACUGCUCCAACUGGAUGAGCUGCUGGAGUCUGAAACUGGGGAGCUACCUACUCCGGAGUGCGAGUAGCAGGAGUCUGAGCUCCUCCUCUAGCCUAAGAGACGACUGGGGCUACAAGAAGCAAGCCUGCCCGAGUGGCACUCUCCAUAAGGCCCACUAGAUGGACCAGAGCAUCUUGGAGUACAUGGGUAGCAAUAAACCCCUCUCGGACCUGAGCUGGGCCCACCUAAACUAUCUGGGCCGGAACCUCAUCAUCAAAGUCAACCUGAGGCUCUGCCGCUGGUGCUGCUGCUCUAGGCUGAGCUCUGACCCUACCUCAGCCUCUAGCAUGGCCUCAGCCUCGCCCUCUACCCCUCGUGGGAGCUACUGCUGGGGGCUCGGGCUACUGGUCAGUGGAUGAGGAAGCGCAUGCUCUCGUCAUCUGCGAAAGAACAAAGUAGAAAUUCAAUCAGCAUUGAGAAACCAAACCGCACGACAGGAAGGAAUAAAUGUGAAGUUUUUCCUAACUCUAUAGCCUCUGGGUGAUAAAUACAGACGUCUCCGUACUGAUCCCUCAGACUCUACUAAGCUUGUCUGUGAACUAUGAGACUCAUGUAACCUAGAGCUCUGAUACCAACUUGUCACGACCCGAAUUUCCCACCCUCAAGAGUCGUGAUAGCGCCUACUCAUGAAAGCUAGGCAAGCCAAAUUAUUUUAAUUACUUAACCUUUUCCAAUUUUAAACCAUUAUCAGUGAUGAGAAGAUAUCAUGCAAAUCACGAAAAUAAUUAAGCGGAAGGCAAAAUCUGAUAAAUUAAUCUUAAUACAAACUGUGGAAGUCUAAAUACAACUCUACCCAGAAUUUGGUAUCACAGUUUCACAAAUGGUCUAAGAACACUACAUACAAAGUCUGAAAGAUGAAAUAUACACUGUUUCUAAAAUGAGUAAAGGAAACAGGAUAAAGGAAAAGUCGAAAGUGACGCCAAGGCCCGCGGAUGCCUGUAGGACUACCUCGGGUCUCCUAUUGGACUGAAGGCAGCAACCUCACUACAGUCUGAAGUCUACAACACUAGGAUCUGCACAAAAGAGUGCAUAGAGUAGUAUCAGCACAACCGACCCCAUGUGUUGGUAAGUGUCUAACCUAACCUUGGCAAAGUAGUAACGAGGUUAGGACCAGACUACCAAGUAAACUUGUGCAGUUAUAUCAUAAACAGCAGAAAUAGAAGCAGAUAAUUGCAAUUAAAAUUAGGCAGGGGAAACAUGCUUUAGAGGAAUAACAGAUAACAACAGAAUAGCAGGAGAAUAUAAAGAAACCAAAAUCCAAUUACUAACACGGAUAGGGAAAACAAAUGCAGAGUUCACCUUCGUUUCAAAUUUCGUUGCAGGCAUGCAACCUGAUCCCAUUUCAUGUAUCUCAUUGCAGACGUGCAACCCGAUCCCAUUUCAUAUAUCUCGUUGUAGGCAUGCAACCCGCUCCCAUUUCACAUAUCUUGUUGCAGGCGUGCAACCCACUCCCAUUUCACAUAUCUCGUUGUAGGCGUACAACCCGAUCCCAUUUCAUGUAUCUCGUUGCAGGCAUGCAACCCGCUCCCAUUUCACAUAUCUCGUUGUAGGCGUGCAACCCAAUCCCAUUUCAUGUAUCUCAUUGCAGGCGUGCAACCCGAUCCCAUUUCAUUUCAUAUAUCUCGUUGUAGGCGUGCAACCCGCUCCCAUUUCAGAUAUCUUGUUGUAGGCAUGCAACCCGCUCGCAUUUCUUUUAUCAACACCAAUAAUAAAAAGGGUCCCGGCAAGGGAACAAUAAUAUCAAAACAAAUAUCCCGGUAAGGGAACAAUAAUAUGACAAUAACAUCCCAGCAAGGGAACAAUAAUGAUAAUAAUAUCCUGGCAAGGAAACAGUAAUGAUAAUAACAUCCCGGCAAAGGAACAGUAAUGAUAAUAACAUGUGAAGUGCAAUAAACCACAACGGAGUCAUAAUAAUUACAAUACAAUACUCACGGGCGUGCUUGACACCAACGUAUAGAUACUUGUCACCAUGCCUAUACGUCGUACUCCACAAUUAGCACGUAGCAAAUAAGACACGACUCCUAAUUGCUCAAGCUAAGGUUAGAUCAAACACUUACCUCGAUGCCACAAACACAAUUCAAGCCUCUACUAUCGCUUUACCUCUUGAUUCCACCACCGAUUCGCUCAUAUCUAGCCACAAGUUACUUAAUUACAUCAAUAAACGCUAAAUGAAUCAACCCUAAUGCAUGAAAAUGAGUUUUCCAAAGUUUUACCCAAAAAUUCAAAAAUUGCCCCCCGGCCCACAUGGUCAAAACCUGAGGUUCAAACCAAAACUCAAUUACCCAUUCCCCCACGAACCCAAAAAUAUAAUUUGUUAAUUGGACUUCAAGUCGAGAUCCAAAUCCUCAAUUUUUGAAAAACCUAGGUUCUACCCAAAACACCCAAUUUCCCCCAUGAAAAUCAUUGGUUUUGAGUUGAAAUUAUGUUAAAAGAUGUUAAUGAUUGAAGGAAACGAGUUAAAAUUGACUUACAAUCGAUUUGGAAGAAGAGUUGUUCUUGAAAAAUCGCCCUAGGGAGUUUGUGUUUUGAAAAGAUGUGAAAAAUGGUUGAUUUUCGGCUAAGUAUAGAAUGUUGUAGGUUGCAGGUAUGGGAAUUGCAAACCCUGACCCCUGUUAUGUUCGCAUUUGCAAAGGGAGUUCUCACAAUUGCGAUUUGGUAAAUGCGAACAAGGGAUCGCAUUUACGAUAGCAGGCCCAAAAGAGGUGCAUCGCAUUUGCGAAGGAAAUCUCGCAUUUGUGAGAUGGAGCUGGCCUGGGAUGCUUUCGCAAUUGCAACAAGGCCCUCGCAUUUGUGAUAUUGCAUUUGCAAGCCAAGCUUCGCAAAUGCGAAGCCUGCAGGCCUGAACACACCAGCUAUAAAACCUGCAAUUCAUCAAGUCCAAAAUCCACCCCAUAGCCUAUCCAAAACUCACCCGAGCCCUCGGGGCUCCAAACCAAACAUGUACAUCAACCUAAAAACAUCAUACGGACUCGUUCAUGCAUUCAAAUCACUAAAUAACAUCAUCAACUAGGAAAAUAGCAUGAAAAUCAUGAAAUUUCCUUAAGAACUUCAAAUUUCCAAUUUUCUCAAAAAUGAUCCGAUUCACGUCGUUUCAAGUCCGUUUUUUACCAAACUUCACAGACUUAUCUUAAAUCACAUAUAAGACAUGUAUCGGGUUCCGGAACCAAAAUACGAGCCCGAUGCCAUCAAGUUUAAAUCACAAUUCAUUUCCAAAUCUCAUAAAUAAAUUCAGAAAAUAAUUUUUCUCUAAAAUUCAUUUCUCGGGCUUGGGACCUCGGAAUUCGAUUCUGGGCAUACGCCCAAGUCCCAUAUUUUCCUACGGACCCUCAGGACCGUCAAAUUACGGGUCCGGAUCAGUUUACCCAAAAUGUUGACCAAAGUCAACUUAAUUCAUUUUACAAUCAAAAUUCAUCAUUUUUUUCACAAAUUUUCACAUAAUGUCUAUCCAGCUAUGCGCCUGGACUGCUCACGUAAACCGAGGUAAUGCUGAAAGAGGUUUCUAAGACAUAGGAAUGCAUAAUUCAUUUCUAAAACAAGUGAUGACUUUUGGGUCAUCACAAUUUUAAAUUCCUAUAGGCAUAAUAUCUAAGCAAACAUCGCAGCAAAACCACAGACAUGUUAUCAGAAUGCGGAUCGAUUUUUUUUAUAUCUAUUGGCGUGAUGUCUAAAUGAACAAACAUUUAUAGGCAUGGUAUCUAGAUUGCAAGAAAAUAAUCAAAUAGCACGAUGAUUUCUAAUUACAGAAACUUAGUUUGAACCCUAUAGACAUGAUUUCUAUAAUGUACACAAGUGAUGAUCAUUGCAAUGUCCAAUAGGCAUGGUUUCUAGGAAUGUAAAUAUUGUUUUAAAUCUUAUAGGCAGGAUAUCUACCCAAUUCCCACAAAAGAUAUAUAAAAGUCCCUCCCUUUUACUAAUUUCCCCAAUAUCUAUUUACAAGAAAUUAUUAUUACAAACCAACGCUAAUAAUGAAUUACAAAACUAGAAUUACUAUAACUAUAGGGAGCCUGAAUAUAGGCCCAAAAGAUACACCUGGCAAACCAGGCCUUCAACCAGUCCACAAAUGCCAAGAUCUCAUAGUUCAACCAACAGGAUCCUGGUGUGUCAAAGUUCCCAAGGGCCUCAGGGACCCCGGGCAAUGCUCACACUAGGAAAACCUCAAAGUAACCCUUUGUGAGCAAGUUUGAAAAGCCAACUCCAGUCUGUCAAAGUUCAGAGGAGCCUCAAGGACCCUUAAGCAAUGCUUACACUAGAGGGGCAAGACCAUAGGUGUUCUAAGAAUAGGAGUAGUGUUUGGAAAUAGAAGUAGUUUUAAGAAAAUAGUUUAGAAGUAGAUAAAGUCAUUAUAGCACUCUGAAGCAAAUGUUUCAGCCAUCAAACAGCAAGCAGAAAACAUAGUCACAGAGUUUCAAAGCAAAGAUUCCCACUGCCCAGAUAUAGCUUAAUUCAUUAGUUAACACUAGGUGGCACAUAGCAUGUUGAGAACAAACAACCACACAGAGAGGGAAGCAGGGGUUGGGGAGUCAUAUUGAUCAUGAUAAAUAAGCAUGAGUCUAGUUCAUAGCGAUACACAGAAGUCUAACUAAGUUAGAAACAAACAGAUUGAGAGCAGGACGCACAUAGAUUCAACCAGACAGAGGUAGGAAGGUUAUUGUAGCCAACAUAGAAGCGAACAUGUGAUGGCAGUAGACAUAUAGGUUCGAUCAAGACAGAAGAAAGGGCAUGCUAGUUAUAAGGAAUCGGACAAGUUAAGUAGAAUAAUUGGAAGCAUGCAAUAUAAUUGAAUGGCCAUACAUAUACUGACUAAGAACAAGAAACAUGAAACACAUAGGUUUAGUUAAAGAUAGACAGGUUUAUCUAGAAGAUCCUACUGGUUUAGUAACAUAAAAGAGACAUGCUGGGAAUAGGAAGUACACAAAUUAAAUUCACACAGAGGUUUCCAUGAUAGUAAAGUGGGAGCCUACCAGUUAGAUUAGAGCAGCAGAAGCAGAAAGUAAAGUAGCAGGAUUCAACAGUCUAGUCCUGGCUUUCAGCCGACUAGACAAACAGAUGAACAUAAGUGGUAGAGAGAUAAGAGCAGAAUUUGUGUGUGAGUGUGCUUAUGAACUGUUGUUUGUGUGUUGAGAGGUAAAAUAAGAGUGUAUAUAUAGCACUUUAGGAGUAGAACAAUUAAGAUAAAAGAAUCAGAAGCUAGUCAAUUAGGGACAAUCACAGAAUUACAGAAUCAAAUCACAUAAAGGGGUUCAGAAUAGACCCCUUAAUUAGGGGUAAUUGAUUAACGGUAAAAAUAGGGGUUUAAUUAAGGCAAGGAGUUCAAACCAUACCAAAUAACGAAUCAGUAAGAAUUCUAAAAUUAUACGGGCAAUCAAUUAAGGCAGAGAUGACCAAUUAAAGUCAUAAACAAGGAAAUAAAUAAAACAUAUGCACCCAAAUCUUAAUAGAGUAAAGUAAUCAACAAAACCUUCAAAAGAAUACUGAUUUCUGGAAAGAAUUACUCGAAUUCCAUAAAUAGAGAUUAAACUAAGUAAGACCUCACAAAAAAUAUAGAACUUAGCCGAAAAAGCAGGUUCGAACCCUAACAAAGAUUAAUUAGGGCAAAACCACAAAAAUGCUGGAUUUAACAAGGAAAAUGUUUAAGUCCAAAAGAUAGAGCAAACUAACACGACUGCUAUCACAAAACUACUCAAAAUCGAAGCAAAGAUUGAAGGAACCACAUAGAAUCAACUAGGGUUUACAUAUUCUUGCACAAAUCAGUCACGAAGACGAAAGAAUAAUUAAUCAAACACUUAGAAGUCAGAAAAACCUUUGAAAAACAACUUGGGAUGAACCCUAGUUUAGGAAGAGUAAUUAAAAAUCGGAAUAAUCAAUUAACACAAAGAUUGUUUUGAGGGAAAUCAAUUAAUAACAUUCGAAUCAUCUUAGAUCUGUAAAGAUCUGAGAAGAAUCGACAGUAUCGAGCUAGGGUUUUCAGAAAAGUAGUAGAGAUGAGAGAAUAGGUCAAGAACCCAAAGAUCCGUAAUAAAACAAGAAGAAGUUCUUACUCACAGAUGAAAAAUGGCCCGAGACAGGCUGAUAAACAAAGUUUAAACCAAAACCAGUUGGGGUUCCCCUAAGAUCUUCUCAAGGACCCAAGACAUCGAAGAGCCAUGGCGUGUAGAAGACCAGGUCUGGUCGGAGAAGACAUAGAAGCACCAUAGGAGGGAUUCACGUCGGUGACGGCGUUUUAGGGUUAGGGUUAGGUUGAGAGGGAGUUUGAGACAAGGGAGAUGAUGACGGCGGGUGAGGGAAAGAAUGAGAAGGGUUUGGGUAGUUUAGGAGGGUUAAUUAAGGUAAGGAUAAUCGUGGAUUGUUGAUCAAAAUGAUCAACGGCCACGAUUGAACAGGCUGGUGGGUCAGGGGUAGGUAGAUUGGGCCAAAAGGGGUUUGGGCUAAUUUUAAAAAGGGUUUUGGGCUGGUUUUAAAGAGGUCAGGUCUGAAAUAAAAGGGGCUAUUUGUUAAAUGCUCAAACAAUUUAUAUAAAGUAUUUUAUAAAAUAAUUAACUGAUUAUAAAAAAUAAUUUUCGUGCUUAGAAAUGUUUUAAAAUAAUUUCUAAAUAUUUUAAAAAUACAAUGAGCCAUUUUCUGGUAAAAUAAUACAAUAUGUACACAUGGGCUAUAAUUGCAAAGUUAUUGCAAUUGUAACCAAAAAGUGUAAAUCUGACCAUUUGUGAAAUAAUUUGAACUUAAUAUGACUAUAAAUAGCAAAAUUGGAUCAUGAAAUGUUGUAAGAUCAUUUGUGAUGCAAUUUUGUAAGUAUUUAUAUAAAUAAAAUACUGGGAUUAACUAAUUUAAAAAUGUAGAAAUUAUGAAAAAAUAUCAAUUGAUGUUAAUGCAUAGUUUUGAAGAUAUAUAUGCAUUUUAAAAAAUAACAUAGGAAAAAUUGGGUAUCAAUAACGCCGAUAUUGUUGAGACCCGAGAUGUCGUUUCUUGCUGUCACAUCAUUAGCUUCAUUGAUAUUCUGUACUCAAUCCUGUUCAUGCAUAUUAUAUCAUGUCUCGGUCUCGAUUAUUGUUAUUCGGCAUAUCUUAUCAUUAUUUAGGGCUAGUAUCAUGGAAUUUUGAUCUCGUGUGUGUGAGACUGGAGAGUGAUGAUUGAGUGAGGCCGAGAGCCUGAUAUUGAGUGACAGUAUGGGAUCAGGCUGCACAUCGCAACGGGAUAUUGAUUAUGCCUUCGUUGGCCUGUACAGCGCUUGGGCUGAAAGGAGCCCCUCCGGAGUCUUUACACCUCCAGUGAGCGCAGUUGAUAUUAUUGAGGGAUGGAUCUUUUCUGGACAUGGAUCUUGUCUGAAGUAUUCAUAUUUGGAGAUGGAUCUUCUCCAUAGGCUGGAAUGGCCUUCCUCGGUACUGGAUGAUUGUUGCCAGUGAUGUGUAUAUAUUCCAGGAUGGAUCUUCCCUAGGCCUUGUGAUCCAUAUACAGUACCGAGUGGUUGUGAGGUUGUUAUUGUUAUUAUCUGGAGAUGGAUCUUCUUCAUAGGCUAGAAUGGUCUUCCUCAGUACUGAAUGACUGCUGUCAGAGAUGUAUAUAUUCCGAGAUGGAUCUUCCCUGGACCGUAUGAGCCAUAUACAGUACUGAGUGGACGAGCAUUUGAGAUUGUGGGCACAUGAGGCACGCAACAUGGUGCAUUUCAUAUAGCAUGUGCAUUGGCAUGUAGACAUAGCAGAGUUAUACUUUCUUAUCCUCUAUUUACCUGCUCUGUUUUACUGUUCGAGCUGUUUAUUUAACUGAAAGCAUGCCUACGUUUCUAUACAUUAUUUUUGUUUCCUUUGAUGAGGUUGAGUUCGUCACUACCUAUCAGUACAAAGGUUGGACUUGUUACUUACUGAGUUAGUGUACUCACGUUACCCCAUGCACCUCGUGUGCAGAUUCAGGCACUUUGGAUCCAGUAGCAGUGGCUGAUCGCGGCUUCUGACGUAGGAGAUUAUUGAGGUAUCGGCACGUUGUUCGCAAGCCUUGGCUCUCACCCUUACUUUCAAGUUGUAUUUCAGUUGUUUCCCUAGACAUUAUAUUAGACUACGUAUUUUUCUUAGACGCUCAUGCACUCAGUGAUACCCCGAUUUUGAGCUGGAUUGUAUUUAUUUUUGGAAUUUCUUAUGUUUCAAAUAGUUCUUUGACUGUUAAAAGCUUCCGUAAAUAUUUUUAAACUUAUUAUUAUCGUGUUGAUUGUUGAGUUGAGGUUGGCCUAGUUUCACGAUAGACGCCAUCACGAUGGAUCGGAUUUUGGGUCGUAACAAAAUGUACCACGACUAUCGCUUGCACUUUUCUUAAUGGUAAAUCAUGAAUCGGUAUGACUCGAUCUAGUUAGAGUUUCGAUUAAUUAGAUGAAAUCUCAAAAAGUCUAAGUAGAUUUCGGAAUCCCCAUAUAUUUUUUCAAUUACAAAUUCCCCAUCUGACUAAAGCGGAAAACAAGCUGAUAUCAACAAGUCUUCAUUUGUUUAUCUUUAAUGGAGGUCUGAAUCUAAUUAUUCAGAUAUCAGAUAUUAAGUGCGUUCGUUUUUAAAGUCUAAAUCUUAAUCAUUAAACGUGUUUAUUUUUUUACGUUACAACCACUUAGUGGGUCUGAAUAGAUCUGUAUGAUUAAGAUCUAUAACAAAGACUUAAUUUCAUCAAGAUACUAUUAUGCAUCCACAUUCAUUAGUAAUUAUCCCCACCGCUUACUAUUAUCAACUGUCACUAUACCACCCACCACCACCAUCUUUAACCAUAAUUGCUAUCACUACCAAUCACCACUAGCUAUUACCUAGAACCACCACCACCAACCACCGCCUCUAGUAGGCAUUCACAAGAAAUAUAUAUUUUAUUGAUAGAACAUUAGAUUAAUUAGUAUUUUAUUUAAAUUUUGUAUUUAUUAAUUUUCAAAUAAAGAUAAAUUUGAUACAUUCAGAUGUUAAAAAACAAACAAUCCUAAUCAUUUAGUAUUCUGACCUUGAUACACAUUUUAAUAUUCAAAUAUGUAUUUAGAUUCAAAGGUCUUAAUUUUAAUACAUAGCUUGAUAUUUAAAUGUGUAUUCAAAUUCAAACAUCUUAAUAGUUAAAAAAAAAAAAAAAAAAAGAAGAAGGAGGCCUAAAGUCUCUUGACGUCUGAAAUUCUGCCGAAGAGAAUACUACUUUAACUGUUUGAUCCAAUGUAAUUAUAGAUUACUAUGUGGUUCUCCAUUUUCUUGCAAAGAGGACUUGUUCUUCUGACUGUUUAAAUUUUUUUCAUUUUUAUUUAAUAAUUAUGAUACAUUUUGUCUUAAAUAGCAAAAAUGAGAUUCUUUUAGCUUCUUGAACAUUUAAAAGUUAAUAUUUAAUUAAGUGGAUAGAAUUUAAUUUUGACAUAUUUAGAAAUACAAAAAGAUAUAAAUUUUACUGAAAAGUGUUGUCAAAUAUCGUAUGAUACCAUAUAGAGAGGAUUUAUAUGCAUAUCAUAGAUGGGAUUAAUUGGUGGGUUUUAUACAAAGAUUAAAAGAUAAAAAAUUGAAAAUAGACUUUGACCCUUUAAAAAACUAAUGAAUGAGAUCGCGUACGAGAGACAUGUCUUAGCUUCUUUUUACAAUAUUGAUGUCCGGGUUAGUUUGUGGGCGCUCGACUAAUUCAUCGGAUGCCCGUUACCUUGAGUUUUAGGUAAUUCUAUCUAUCAAUGUUUAGAUGUAUAGGCAAUUAUAUUAAUAAAGAUUUAGACCUAGAUCUCGCAUCAAGGACGGAUUUGUUAGGUGUUUGUCCAUAUUAUAUUACCAUAAUUGAUUUUUCUAUCUCACGAAGGAACAUGCAACAUAUUUACCUUAAUUAGGUUUUCCUUCUUGUAGAAGGAAAUUAUAAAUCUCUUAUAUUUGGCUAGUCCCUUUUCUUGGAGGUAAAGGUUUGGAUUUCUAUAAAUUGAGGAUUCUUCAUUCUCAUUCAGUAGCAUCCACAAUGUAGCCAUCUGGGUUUGAGAGUCGUGUUUAUGGGGAGAACUUUACGGGACAAGUGUUAGUGUGUCACUUGUAUUUGCCUCUUCGUGAGGUUGUUCUCUCGAUAUUUUGUACUCUCUUUUAUAUAGUGGAUUACUUAUCUCCGCUGUGGAUGUAGGUCAAUAUAUUGGCUGAACCACGUUAAAAUGUUUGUAUCUCUUUGUUGUUGGAUUUAUUGUCAUUCAAUUGUUGUUUUACUAGAUUUCGCAUGACACCUAACUUUUUCGGUCCUAACAGGAUUUACUAGCCAAAUUAUGGGGCACGUGAACUCGUGAUCUCUCUGCCAAACUAGGUGUUUUAUGUAUAUAUACUAUAUUUUCUAAAAUUGGUCUAAUAUUAUCUGUUGGCUCAUAUGCUCCGAAAAGGUUGAAUGAUGCACUUGGUUGAAUAUUGAGUUAUUUACCUAAAUGAACGGUGAUCAAUUUCCACUAAUAUUUUUUUUCCAAGGUGAACUUAUGUUCUUGAAAUCUUAGAUCCUCUUUUGUCUCGAAUGAUCAUCAAUUUCAACUUCGUUCAAUAUAGCAGUGGCGGAGCCACAUUGAAGCAAAUUAAAGGAUGUCAAGCGACACUCCUUCGCCGGAAAAUUAUACUAUUUUUCUAGAAAAUUUUUAUUUUAUUUUAUGUAUAUUUACUAUAUGUUGACUCCCUUAGCUUGACUUUUUGAUGUAUCUAAUUAUUUAUAUUUUAACACCCCUCGAUGAAAAUUCUGAAUCUGCCGCUGCACUAUAGGUCACAUCACAAGACGGACUCUUUUUUCCCAUCCAAAAGACAAGACAACUAGGAGUAGGAUGGGGUUACUAUUAGCAGGGCAGAGUUGCUAAAACUAGGUAUCAAGAAUGUAAGUUUACCUAGAUAUAGUUACUAUUGCAGGCUGCAGAAAAAUAGAUGUUGAAUACAAAGUUAUUCUUUCGUCUAAGUGAUAGCUUCAAACUAGUUGAAGAUCAAUGUGAUCUUCUGCUCCGAUAUUUUCCUCAGCAUAAAUCAUUCAGAUUUAAAAAGCACCAAGCUGAGCAGUGGCAUUUGCUGAAACUGAUCUUCCUAUUAAGUAUAUUCCACGUAUUGUAUAUAUUUUUGUUGCAAAGGCCAAGUUUUAUAAUGAUCGUGGAACUUUCGCACAUAUUGUAUUUUUUUUCUUUUUGCACAUGUUGUAUUUGACGGUUUACAUACAGGAAAAUCAAGAAAAAAUUUGACCAUAUAUAUAUAUAUGAGAAGGAGAGAUUUGCAUAGUUGUCAGCCUAUGACAGCCACAUGCAUGCAUGCAUGCUUGUUUUUACUUUUCUUCUUCACGUAUCCUUGUUUACACAGGCGUAAUCAGAAUUUCAAAUUUAUGUGUUCAGAAUUCUAAGCGUUUUAAGUUAUUGGAUUCUAAAUUAAUAAUUUGUAAUAUUCAAUAAACAUUUUAAGACAAAUAUAGAGUUCGAACAAAAGCUACUGAGUUCGGCCAAACCCGCUCAGAUCACUCUUGUUUGACUCAAAAGAUAUUAAAACCUUUUUGAACAAAUCAAUCAAAGAUGAAGGGGUAUAUCAUAGUCAAACUUAGUUGAUUUCAGACCGAGCAACUUCGUAAUGAUGAAUAUAUGGGAGAUGAACAAGACAUUGCCAAUCUCAUUAAGAUUCAAUAUUGCAUUCCUCCUCAGUUUCUGAGGAGAGAGAGCUACAAUUGCUUUUUCUUUGAAUACAAGAAUGGAGCUCUUAGCUCUAUUUUUUCUAGAUAACCCUGGAGAAGCCCCCCCCCCCCCUCCCCCUCUUGAAAGCCUUCCUGGGCUGUAUAUAUAGUCGAAACCUCUUGAUCCCCACCGUGAUUUGGUGCGCUUGGGUCAAUGGUGCGUUCCGGUCAUGACUCUAGUCAUUGCUCUUUUCGAUAUGUCGGAUAUCUUGGAGGAGAA